GUGAAGUAUCUUUAAUGCCAUGUCUUGCAUUUUCAUAUUUAUUUUUUUUUGAUAUUUUAUAUUUACAAGUUAGUGUGCUCCUAUAUUAUUGAUAUAUUGGUGUACAGAAAUUAUGUUGCUUAGCUGUUGCAAAGCUCAUUUCAACAAAUUAAGAAUUAUAAUCCUUCAUUAAGAUAUCUUAAAAUCUAGCUUUUAUUUUUGGUUAUUUUCUUUGUUCAUCAUUUAAGGAGUUGUUUUAGUGUAAUCACUCAAAGUGUUCUUGGAGACAGAAUUUUUUCCUAAUAUGGCAAACCUCACAUAACAUUUCAUUUUUUUGUAAAGAACAGUGUCAAAUUUGUUAUACAGAAAACUGUAGACAAAAAUCUGACUUUCAGAAUUUUGAUAUGCAAGUUGACAUGUUCUCCUACCUGUACAUGUAGUUUCUGUUUGGUGACUAGGACAUAGGGUUUGGAGAUUACAGAGAUUUCACAUAUACACCCUUGCAAAAUUAUCUAUGUAUAUUUUUUGUUUCCCUGUAAUGUGUAUGCCCUUCAAGAACUUAAAUUUGCUUCAUAUAUACCCUUGAACAUGCUAAGGUGUCCCUCUUUAAGAAACAUUUUCUGAACAAAACCAACCUCCCUCCAUGGAUUAUAUGAUUUUCAAACUUAGGGGUAUCUUUGUAAGAAACUGCAGUUUGAGGGGGUAUGCAUGAAGUUUCAGAUUUUACAGGUUUAUAAGUGCAAGUAGAUGAUUUUGUUUUGAUAUGUGUGUAUAGACCUCUCAUCAUUAUUUCUGUUAUUGGCAAUCAAUUAUAAGCUUCACUCCUCUGCUGCAACAUCAUAAUCUAUGAUUUGUAUUCAUCAUGCAGUUAUGGCACUGGAGCAAUCAUGGCCGUACCUGCACAUGACUCUCGUGACUAUGAGUUUGCCUUAAAAUAUAACAUACCAAUAGUUUGGGUCGUAAAACCAUCUGAUGAAAUUUGCGAUCUAAAUGAGCCAUAUGUUGAUGAUGGUAUCAUAGUAAACUCAUCCAGUUCGGUAUCUGGGUUGAAUAUUACUGGUCUAUCUUGCAAGGAUGGUGCUUCAAAAGUCAUUCAAUGGCUUGAGAGUACUAACAAUGGAAAGAAAAAGGUGCUUUCAUUUGCCCAAAUUUGAAUCUAGCCCCUAAAGUUUGACUCCGAUCUUAAGUCUUGUCCUCACUCUAAUUUUAACAAUUUAAACCCUGAAACUUGACUGUUAUUUUGAUUUUGUGCGCAGAAUUCAAGUUAAGCAAUUCAGUCCUGAAGUUUAACCCCGAUUUCAAUUUUGAAAAAAAGAAAAGUCUAAGAAUAGUGCUGACAUGGCAUCUAUUUCAGAUAGUAUACUAACUGAUGGAAUUAAAUUGUCGCAUGCAACAAGCUUCAGGGACAACAUUGAUAAAAUGGAAACUAAAAGGAUGAAGUUAAAAUUGGAGUCAAACUUUAAGUACUUUAAUGUUAAGUAACCAAUUCUUUUUUAUACUUAUUGUGUUGUACGGCAAUUUAAAUUUGAAUAAAAUCCAUGCUCAGGUAAAUUACAAGCUAAGAGAUUGGCUUUUUGCUCGACAACGCUAUUGGGGUGAACCUUUCCCUGUAAUUUACCUUGAUGACACUGAUGAAAUAGUGCCUCUUUUGGAAAGUGAGCUGCCACUAACUCUUCCUGAAUUGGAUGACUUCACUCCAACUGGAACAGGAGAACCUCCUUUGGCGAAAGCCAUAUCUUGGGUAUGUUUUUCUUUUACUAAUUUUGAUGCAGGUGUAUUUGAUAGCGUGCUUCAGAAACUUUUUCAUGUAGUUGUAGUUAUAGGCUGGUUAGUUUCAUUCACUAUGAUGAUUUGUACUUACAUAAAAUGAAGAAGUGAAAAGAUAACAGCAAAAUUGGUUAGAGGAAAUAUAAGGUGGUGAAAACCCAGGAUAACAUUGACAAUUAGCAAAAUUUUCUUCUAUUGUCAUUCGAAGGUGAAAAAUAAAAGCUGUUAUCUUGUAUCCCAUAGGUUGUUUUAUACGUAGGGGUGUAAAUGAGCCGAAUACGAGCGAGCUGGGGUUGGCUCGUGUUCGCGAGCUGGCUUGUUAAAGUAUGGAGCUAAAAAAUUUAGCUCGUGUUCGGCUCGUUAAUAAACAAGCCGAAUACGAGCUAGUUCACGAGUUGGCCAACGAACAAUAAAUUAAAAUGAUUAGAUUGAAUAUAUAUAAAAAAUAAAUUUAUAAAAUCUUAUCCAUUAGACUUUGAUCUAAUGGUUGAAACUUUACAUAUAAAUGAGUCUUUUUAUAAUUGAGCUUGUCUUUAUAUUUUUAUUUUUCUAAAAAUUAAAUAAUAAAAAUAUAUAUUAUAUAUAUAAUUAUUUAUUUAUAUAUAUAAAUAUAAAUUAAAUAAAUUAUAUAAAUAUAAAAUAUAUGUAUUCGAGCUGUUAUUGAGCCGAACACGAGCGAGCUGACCCCAGCUCGUGUUCGGCUCGUUUAUUAAACGAGCUGAAAAAUUCAGCUCGUGUUCGGCUNCUCGUUUACUAAACGAGCGAUUUGAUCUCGAGCUCAUUUCGAGUCGAACACGAGUUGACUCACGAACAGUGAGCUGGAUUGCCACCCCUAUUUACACGUAUAACCUUCUUCGGAAGUUUUUUUUUUUUUGGUUUUUUCCUUAUUUUUCCUUUCAAAUAACUAUUCGGAUGGAGUAGAAAGAAGGCAUAGUUUCUCUAUGCAGUUCUUGCUGUUUUGAAACUCAUUUCUCGUCUGCCUUAUGUAAUAUGUCUAAAAUGAAUUCCAUCUUCUUAUUUAGGUUAAAACUGUUGAUCGUUUAUCGGGGAAACCUGCAAGAAGGGAAACUAGUACAAUGCCACAAUGGGCUGGAUCCUGCUGGUAACUUCGUCACCUUUUUGUUAAUGGAUGGAAUUCGAAAAACCAUAUAAAAAUUAAAUAGUGUAAUGAGUUUUAAUUUGUCGUUUCCUCUUACUAUUAUAGAAGUUAAAUAGUGUAACUAUUUUCAAAUUAUGUAUCCAUUAAAUAUAAAACUUCUUAUUUUUAAAUAACUUGUUAGGUACUAUUUGAGAUUCAUGGAUCCCCAAAAUCCCACUACUCUGGUUGACAAGGCGAAAGAAAGGUAGGGAAGAUUUUUAUUUCAUUUAUUCUUUACAGCCACAAGGAAGGUUUUAUUGGAGCAGCUAAUAUGUUUAAUUUAUCACCAGAUAUUGGGGCCCUGUUGACAUUUAUGUUGGCGGUGCUGAGCAUUCUGUCCUACAUUUGCUUUAUGCGAGAUUCUGGCACAAGGUUUUUUCAAACUGUAAUUAAUUGAUACUUAAAUUUCAUUGAAGGUUAUUACAAUUUAUUUAUUAUUUAUUUGAUUUACGUAUUUAUUUUUUGUUGAAGGUUAUAACAAUAUCUGUGAAAUUCUAUUUGCCCUUGUAUAUGCAGUCUCUACACAUUCUUUGAUUGCCUUUAAGUUUUGCGCAAAAUGGCUUAAUGUUGAUUAGGUUGUAUGCUGUCUGAGUUAAUCUGAAGAAGUCUGCCAAAUACAAGUUAGUUGGCAAUGUGUGGCUUGUAAUCUAGUAGAACCCAUCCACUUAGUUGCUUUUUAGAACACAGUAUUUUCAGAGAUUACUUGAGCUUAGGGAGUAAAUAAAUGGUAGAAUUUUCAAAACUUAAUUAUCAUUUUACUUCUGCUAUGUGGUUGUAAUUUUUUUGCUUCUACUCACCUCUUUCUUUGUUAAAUAUGCCUUUUAGGUUCUAUAUGAUAUUGGCAUCGUUUCCACCAAAGAGCCAUUCAAGUGCUUGAUAAAUCAAGGGUUAAUACUAGGAGAAGUAAGUAACUUAACUUUCCGAAGCUAUCUGUAUAAUAUUAUCCUUAUUACUUUCUAACUACUGUAGUAAUAGGUUGAAUAUACCGCGUUUAAAGAUCAAGAAGGUAGAUGGAUCUCUGCAGAUUCUGCCAGUUCAAGUGAGUAUUACCAAGAAAAAGUGCCUGCAGAGAAGGUGCGGUUCAAAAUAGACAAGUGUUAUUAUACUAUUAUUGAAGUCGGAAAUCGUUUUUAUUUCAAUUCACAUUUCAAUUUUUCUUGUAGGUCACGAAGGAUGGCGACUAUUUUGUGCUAAAAGACAACCCAAACAUUCGUUUAAAUGCUCGCGCCUACAAAAUGAGUAAAAGUCGCGGCAAUGUCAUUAAUCCAGAUGAUGUCGUUUCUGAAUAUGGUGCUGAUUCCCUACGCUUGUAUGAAAUGUUCAUGGGACCAUUGAGGUAUCUUUUUCCUCUAGGGACUAUACUCUUAUGAGUACAGAGGCCUUUGUUUUCAUUAUUCGUUUUCGAUGAUAGCGCUUCCAAAUCGAGUAUCGAUACCGUUAAACAUGAUUUAGAGCAUUUGAAAUGAAUUUCGUAAUUUUUUGUAAUUAUAAUAAAGUCCAAGCGGGCAUAAAAUGAACGGUCAAAAUCGAUCAGCCUCCUAAAAAUAAAGAACCAGAUUCUUCAAUUAAGAUCGGAGUUAUUGAUUUUUAUGUAGAUAGUGAAUGAAAUUUUCUAUCAAAAAUUUAACCGGUUUUAAUUCUUUUAGCCACCGUUUGGUUGGGGGUUAAGGGGUGGAAUAACCCCUUAACCCCCAAUUUAUACCCAAACACCACUCUUAGCCACCGUUUGGUUGGGGGUUAAGGGGUGGAAUAACCCCUUAACCCCCAAUUUAUACCCAAACACCACUCUUUUGGGGUGGGGUUAGUAAACCCCACCCCAAACCGGGUUAGUGGGGUUUACUAACCCCACUCCCCCUCCCAACUUUAACCCCGCACGCAUCCCGAGCUCUCACCUUUUUCUUCUUUAUCAAUCAUUAUCUUUUUAUCCCACCUACUCCAACCAAACACUUUUUUUCACUAUCCUAGACUAACUCCAACCUCCAACCAAACACAAAAAAAUUUUAACACCAUUUUAACCCUGAACUUAACCCUAUCCCUGGAAUAGCUACUUUUUCUUAACCCCGAACCAAACGGGGGCUUACACCAUUGAACUAGCAAGCAUCCCAUACUAGCUGUUUAAAAUGUUUAUUUUGAAAUCUUUUGAUCAUAAGUUAAAUAAUGUCAAAAAAUUAUGAAAUUUGGUUUCUAGAAGUAUUAAAUGCUCUAAAUCAUGUUUAACGAUAUGUAUUGUAGAUUCAAAAGUUUUAUCAUUGAAAACGAUUUAUGAGUAUGAAGGCGACCCGAAAGAGCAUAGUAGCUGGACUAUGUAUAUAUAGAGAACUAUGGUUACUAUGUUUUCAAAAGUAUAGAGGUCUUCAUGCUCUCAAGUUGUUUUUGAUGAUGGGACAUUCGAUUCCGCAAUUGGCGCCGUUAGACAUGAUCUACAGUGUUGGAGUUAUCUAGAAACCAAAUUUUAUAAUUUUUAGAUUUUGUUUGCCUAGUGAAUGAGUAGACUUAAAAUGAACGAAUGAAAAAAAAAAAUCAUAAAAAUAGUGAUAAAAGACUUAAAUUUCACCUAAUUAGGUAAGUAGAAUAUUCUAUUAAAAUUUCACCUAAUUUUGAUUGUUUACACUGUUGAACUUACAAAUGUACCAGUGUACCACAUCGGCCAUUAAAAUAGUCAUUUUUAAGAUACUUCUAUCACUUGACAAAUGAUGUUGAGAAAUUAUAAAAUUUGGUUUCUAGAUAGUUCUAGUAGCAUAAAUCAUGUCUAAUGAACCCAAUCGCCGACUCGGAUAUCCUAUCAUCAAAAACAACUUGAAAGUAUAGAAACCUCCGUGCUUUUGGAAGCACAGAAGACGUACCCGAUAGAUAUUUAUAUAUCGGUGCCAAAAAAAUAAAUAUUUCAUGCCAUAUUGUGUUGGUAUACAUGUAUUUUUAUCACUGGCACACACUGGCACGGUAUGACAUGCAUUAUAUCAUAUCGUGUUAGCAAGUUUUUGACACAACCCCAUAUCACGACACUUAAAUCCUUGUAUAAACCCCUCAAAAGUUCAAUUCUUACUCAAGUACCCUUAAGUUGGGUGGUCAUGCCACUCACACUAGAAUUUGCUUUUGCUAAAAAUUAUUGUGAAGGGUCAUUCUUUUUCUUUUGUAAAUUCAUGGAUAUAUAUAUAUGUAAGAAAUCAAAAUUUUCAUGGGCAUAUCUCCAGGUUGCAAAUAUUUCAGGGAUAUAUACUUACAAUAAAUUUUCAAGGAUAUAUAUGUAAAUGGUACUUGUUCUUUCUAUAUUAAAUUCUUGAUGCAUGAGUCAAGCGCUUGCAAACUAGGUGCAAACCCUGAACAUUUUUGCUCUUUUUUUCAGAGAUUCAAAAACAUGGAGUACUGGUGGGAUUGAAGGAGUACAUCGGUUUCUAGCAAGGACAUGGAGGCUGAUUGUGGGCCCUCCUUUACCUGAUGGAUCGUAUAGAGAUGGAACAAUUGCAUCCAAUGAUGAGCCAACCAUGGAACAGCUUCGCACUCUUCACAAAUGUAUUGCAAAGGUCAGAUUCCUUUCCUCUUGAACUUAAUGAUAUGAUUCGUUUCGUCAGGUCACUUGGAUGAACUUAAAUCAUCCUUUUCUUCGUUUAAUAUUGAAAAAGAAAGUGAUGCUUUUCUCACGUAGCUGUAAAAUGCAUUUGUAUAAAAAGUCAGAAGUUAAUUUUUAGUUCUAAAACUAUUCAUACUUCCAAAAUUUUAGUGCAAACCUCAAGUCUAACAUUGGCCAAGAAAGCAGAUUCUGAUUUUGGCUAAAACGUACUAUGCUGUAAGUAUCAUGAUUUUCACAUUGCUGUGCUGAUAGUUUACGCAUUUACCUGUGAACAAACUGAUGAAUAUCACCUAAUGGAACAUUGACUAUGGAGGCUAAGUUACAAAAUCUUGUAGUAGCAGUUUCUGGCAAUUUAGCAACAGGUGUGGUUCUUUAACCUCCAAUUUAUUGAGAAGAAGCUUGCAGGAGUCCACGUUGAGACAAGUUCCUCUAUAAGAAGGCACGCUCUGCGAUUAGCCUUUUUGCUGCAGAUAGUCCCAAAGGACCAAAAAUUACAAACUACAUUUAUUAUUGGAAAGUACACUCUGUUUAUCCCUAGUUAUCACUUUCUCUGUAUGCAUAUGUAUGAGCAUGUGCGUGUGCAUGUGUCUGCACCUGCGUGCAUGCGUAUGUGCAUGCAUGUGGGUGCAUGUGUGUGGAUGCAGUAUGCAUGCAUGUAUGCCAAAAUUUGUUCUAGAUGUACAGCACCAUAAUUUUUAUCCAUGGGAAAUAAUUUACUGUCUACAUUUAAAGUUGUGAGAUGAAGAUGUACCAAACUUCUUUGGUUAAUUGUUGUGUUUAUUGAUUUUCCAGGUGGCAGAAGAAAUUCAAGAAACAAGAUUCAAUACUGGAAUUUCUGCGAUGAUGGAGUUCAUAAAUGCUGCAUACAAGGUCUCUUCUAUCAUUUGAGGCAUUAGCUUAUUAGCUUAGUAUGGGAUAAAGUGUUUUUAUAUCACUAUUGUACUUUCUUACUAAUGGAAUGCUAAUUCUUACAGAUAAUUGUUUUUUUUGUCACUUUCUAAACUUAGAUGUAAUUUGAAGUAGUAUGUCCCUUUGGAGAUACUGUUUGCAUUGUUCUUUUUUUUUGUACACUAGGUUCAUAUACUUAGGUUCAUAUAUUGUGAAAACCUUGUUGAAUACUAUUAUUCGAAAUGUCCAGUCCACUAUUUUGUCCAAAGUGAUAGAUCGAUCAGGAUUACAUCUAAUUUAUUACUUGUAAGAAGUGAUCUGUUGAUAAAACCAAUUAAAUAAGCAUAAGUCUCAUUUAAAAGGGAUCAGUAUUUUAAUAGUAGAAUUGUUUCCUUAGCUCUAUUGAUCCUUGUGUUCAAAUGCUAACCAAAAUUUACUUCUCAUCUUUUUGAUGAAAUGCUGGGAACUUGUAGUUGCAUCAUAAUGAUUGAUAGAUGACCUAAAGAUCAUAUUACCCUUUUAAUCAAGCCAACAGAUUCAAUGUAUUUCUGUCUAAUAUUUUCCAGGUUAUUCAUGCCAAAUGACAAAUGGAAUUACCCAACUGUUAUUAACUUAUUGUAGUUGAUGGUUAGAUAAUUUGUUUGCUGGUUACUUCAUGAAAAUAUUGUUGAUUUGUUUUGAAGAAUUAUUGAUCGUUUCUACUGCAUAUAUUUUAAUAAAAUUUUGAUAGUGAUUAUGUUCACUUGCUUUGUCGGUUGACUGAAUUACUCAACUAUUGUUAGCAUUUGCAAAAUCACAAUGAUAUAUUGUUUUGAUAAACUGAUUGCUUUUUUUUUUUUUUUUUUUUUUUUUUUUUUUUUUUUUUUUUUUCUGUUUAACAACUUAGUGGGAGAAUCAUCCAAAGUCAGUUAUUGAGGCCUUUGUUUUGUUGCUUUCACCUUAUGCCCCACACAUGGCAGAGGAGCUUUGGUUUCGGCUUGGGCAUUCAAGUUCUUUGGCAUAUGAAUCUUUUCCAGAGGUACAACUUUACCAAAGACCCAAAUAUGGAAAGCAUAAUAUGGAAAGCAUAAUUUUUACUUGUUGCCUUUUAACUUGUAUCCUUUGCCUUUAAAUUAUGGAAAUUUCCACAUAAUGCGACAUAAUGAGAAAUUUUGCAAGAUAUUGAUCUAUUGAAGCAAUUAUAGUAUAGAUGAAGUUAGUAAAAGUUGCAAGAGAAUUUGAGCUAGAAAUCAAUAUCGAGUCUUGCUACUUUUCUACUUGGCUUACAAACUUCAGAUAAAUAGAUGAUUUCGCAGGGAUCCAAAUGCAAAAGCCUCUUUAUUUAAUUUUGUGAGCCAUACUUUUUGAAACAAAAAUUUAGUGGCUAUACCUGCACCAAUGUACUUCAAGUGACGGAUCAUUAUGCCAAGUCUUUUAAUUUUAUUUUUCAGGCCAAUAGAGAGUAUUUGAAAGAUACAACAAUCGUGCUCCCCGUUCAGAUAAAUGGAAAGACCAGAGGAACUAUUACCGUCGACAAAGCCUGCUCUGAGGAUGAUGCAUUUAGAUUAGCCUCCAGGGAUGAUAAGCUCUCCAAGUAUUUGGAAGGGAAGACUAUAAGGAAAAAAAUUUAUGUUCCCGGGAGGAUCUUGAAUGUCAUAUUGGACAAGGAGAAGGUAAGGUCAUGAUCGUUGCUUCUGAUACUGUAACCAUUUGAUUUUCGCUUCAUGGCUCUAUUUUGUACUGAGCUAUGCUAUAUCUUCUUUUCUUGUCAUGAUUUUGUAUAUUACAGGUUCAUUCUUUCAAUAAAGUUUAACAAUGAUUCAUCAUGUCUCUCUUUUGCUGAAUUUAGCUUGCGACUAACAAUCUUGUUAUGAACUGAAGAGAAUACAGGCAAAUUUGCAACCCCUCUGUUUUGCUGUGUGAAAUAUUGAACGGUAAAACUUGCAGCCUGUCUUAUUAUCUGUUCGUUCUGAAGACGGCACAAACACCAUUCAAUUCCAUGCUUGUGAAUCCGUAGGAAGUUUUUGAUAUUCUGUAUUCGGAUACUUUUGUGUUAGAGUGUUCUUCUCUUUGAUUUCGUAUCCUAUAAAUUGUGGCACCCUAAUAGUCCCGUAUCUGAUGGAAACGGAAUUGUGAUUGGGAAUAAAGUGCCAUGGACCCAAAUAAUAAUAACUGGGUUUAAUUAUUUUGGAACGAUGGUUUGGGCUCAUUUAGUUAUUAUUUCUAGUGCCGGAUUGUUACAUUUGGUAUCAGAGCCGGUUUACCGGCCGGAAUUGUGAGGUGAACCUCACAUCACUUAGUGAUUUUGAGUUAUAUGUGUGAUUGGGACGUGAAAACCUAAACAACGGCUAUAUAUGUGAUUGGACUGACGAGAACAUCAAGGUCUAAACAAGGGGAGUCUGUGACACCCUAAUAGUCUCCCAUUGGCGGGAGCCUGUGAUAUCCCAAUAGUCCUAUAGGAACGGGACUAUGAUUGGGAAUAUUAGGUGCCAUGGACUCUAAUAAUAGUAGCUGCGCUUAAGCACUUUAGGUUGGUGUUUUGGGUCGAACUAGUUAUUAUUGCUAGGGGCGGAUCGUUACAGAUACUUUAUUCCCUUUUCUGGUAUUGCUUUGUCUUAUCAUACCUGAAGUCUCAUUUCAGUUUAAGUCAAAGUGCAAUAUUAAGGUAAAAGUGUAUGGAACCCCUUCAAAUGUAGGCCAGUUGGAAUCGGACCACCAAAUUUUAUUAUUAUUAUUUGUGCAUUAACACCCCCUUCAACUCUCACUUGUUUUGAUAUAAAUAAUUUCGGUCAAUUGAAUUGGGAAUUCGACUAAAAUUGACUCUGUUCACUCUUGGUCCAUUCCAUUAAUAGAAGACACAGUUAUGCCAAUUAAUAAGUGAGAAACCUCAAAAACAAGUAAAAGUUGGAUGGGUGUCAAUGAAAAAGAAAAGAAAAGAAGACAUACCUUGAUUCAUUUUCUUCUUCCUUCAUUACCAGAGGUAGUAGAUUUAUCAUUCCUACUCUGGCAGAGAAUUUACUCGCUCUUCAAAUUGAAAUCAAAUCCAUGUAUUCUCAAGUCAAUUUUUGCAGCUCAUCUUGCAAAGAUAGUUGUGGUUGUUCUUCCUUCAAUGAUAAAUGAAAUCCAUUUGUUUGAUCAAACUACUGGUAACUUAAAACUCAGAUUAUGAAUUGAGGAACAUAACCCUCAAAAAGACAUUAUUAAUGGAUACAUACAGUGAUGUGGCAAAUUGAUGAAGAUGCCCCACAAAUGUAUUUUUUGGUGGGAAAAUGUUGGCCUAUAUUUAGAAGGUGUUUGUGCAAUGGUUAUUUCGCUCUUUAUAGCUAAAUAGUCUGUAAUAGUUUGCAGUGUGGUUGGUUCAUAUACCGACUUUUGAGGAUUAUACACCCGAAUUUGUUUAUCUUGAGGGUGGUAUAUUUAUACAAAAUUUCUUUUGGAAGAGCUCCAAAAUACAAGUUUAGAUAUCAAAAUAAGAAGCUCUAUUUUAAAACUUUUACUAUAAUAGUAUGCUGAUGGAGUGUUUUAAGAAAAGCUUUUAGCACUUACACGUGUUCAACUAAUUAACCCUAGUAACUCUUAACAAGACUUUUAUAUGAAGAAUUCUACAAACAUAACAAAAAGGGGAUUAAAAAAAGAAAAUGAAAAACUUCUUGUCCACAUCAAGGGUUUUUCACAAGUAUUUCUGGUAUAUUUAGGUAGGUAUAGGCCACAAGGUUUGCUUCCUCUUUGGAAAAACUUACUUUUCAAAGUACGACAAUUCACAUGUUAAUUCUCAAAGUGCAUGGAAUUCCCAUGGACUUUCUAGCUCCAAACAAAAGGAAUGGAAAAAUUUAAGUGAAUGAACUAGCAGGUGGAGUAAAACUUAUUAAGCUCUCCGAAUCAUCACCUGACAUUACUAAAUAUACAUAUACCUAACUCAACUUGGCAAAAUAUACUAGACUUGCAGUUUUGUAGCUCUCAUUCACUCUAUUAUGAGAAAGAUGGUUAGAUUAUGAAGGUGAACAAGGAUUGGGAGAUAACCAUUGGGGUGUGAGAUGAAGUGGAUUAAUUCGAACUUGAGCCAAGUUCAUGCGCGAUCGAUUGGAUCGGGAUUUCUCCUCGGAUGCUUUAUUAUAUUGUUGUUCUAUUUCGCAACGUACGAUCGAUAUGCGAGUUCUUUUGGUGCUGGUAAGUGUUCAUCACUCAGUUUGUGUUCUGAUAAAUUGAAGCCUAGUAAGAGAUAUGACAUGAGCUCCGAGUCUUUUAUUCUUUUGAGGUGAUUAUUAUAUUGUGUUUUAUCGAGUAUAAGCGACUGAAAUACCGUUCUCUAGCAGCUUGAGUUGUUGGAGAAACAACAGUCGAUCUUUUCGCAUAAAAAGGAGGUUCUGAGAUCGUAUUUUGCGAGACUCUCGUACUCCGAUUUAAUUAAUUUCUCUUAUAUGAUAUUGUGAUUCAAGUGUUGGCCUUAUGGUCAAACUCCACCCACAUAUACGAGAUAGUGUUGAUUAUAAAGGAUAAAAAGCACCGUUCUCUAACAGCUCAAGUUGUUGGAGGAAAAUAAUAACCAUUUUAACAAAUUCUUUUGAAUAUUUUGUUGUAGUUAAGUGACUAAUCUUGUAAUUGGCUUGCAGUUGAUUUUGAAGGACCAUCAACUCACGCGAGUUCUAAUCCUUCGGAAGAGAAGAUAAGCUCGGAAAAAUUAGGUAAGCCUGAGUUUUCAGUUAUUGAGGUUGAAUUUUAGUUAUACUAUUUCAAGCUUUAGAUAUCACUAGAAUAGUACUAGGUCUGUGAUGAAUUGAGUAAGUACACUUAUUUAAUAAAAAAUGCGCAUGCAAGUGCGUGCAGGGCAAGGCUUGACAAAUGCAGUUCGAGUAGAGCUUUUCCGGAAGCUUUAAUUAAAGCUUGACAAAUGCAGUUAGAUUAGAGCUUUUUGAGAAUCUUUAAUUAAAGUUUCCACUAGUUGGAGACACAGGUGAAAGUUUCAAAUUAGAGUUUCAUCUUUCGAGUUUGGUCGAUAUUUCGGCUUCCUGCUUCGCCCAGAAGCUCCAGAUACUUGCUCUCGAACUUUUUGACUUCUGCUUCUUGAUUAGUAUUGGUAAGCUGGACCAAAUAGGCACAAAUAAAUAAAACGAUAAAGUGAUGAGAUUUUUCAGAUUCAUGUUAUAUGUUAUCCUCUUUCUCAUCUGUCAUACUGAGAGUCUGAAUAAGUUGAAGCCUCAGAAUAAAGAGGAUGGAUCAAAGAAAAUUCAUCAGUAUCUAGCCAACCUACUGUUUUUUUUUUNUUCCUACUCUGGCAGAGAAUUUACUCGCUCUUCGAAUCGAAAUCAAACCCAUGUAUUCUCAAGUCAAUUUUUGCAGUUCAUCUUGCAAAGAUAGUUGUGGUUGUUCUUCCUUCAAUGAUAAAUGAAGUCCAUUUGUUUGAUCAAACUACUUUUUUUUGAGAAAAAGAUAGCAUGCUACCCGCUUCAUUCAUUCAGAGAGUGAAUUAAGCUACAUGGGUGAGGCAGCGAGGCCUCAGGGGUGGUGAAAAAAAGAAGAAGACAUUAUUAAUGUUUUUUAUCAUUAUUAAUGUUUGAUCAAACUACUGGUAACUUAAAAACUCAGAUUAUGAAUUGAGGAACAUAACCCUCAAAAAGACAUUAUUAAUGGAUACAUGAAGUGAUGUGGCAAAUUGAUGAAGAUGCCCAACAAAUGUAUUUUUUGGUGGGAAAAUGUUGGCCUAUAAUUAGAAGGUGUUUGUGCAAUGGUUAUUUCGCUCUUUAUAGCUAAAUAGUCUGUAAUGCUUUGCAGUGUGGUUGGUUCAUAUACCGACUUUUGAGGAUUAUACACUCGAAUUUGUUUAUCUUAAGGGUGAUAUAUUAUACAAAAUUUCUUCUUUAUGUUUUUGGAAGAGCUCCGAAAUACAAUUUUAGAUAUCAAAAUAAAAAGCUAUAUUUUAAAACUUUUACUACAAUAGGAUGCUGAUGGAGUGUUUUAAGAAAAAGUUUUUAGCACUUACACGUGUUCAACUAAUUAACCCUAGUAACUCUUAACCACACUUUUAUAUGAAUAAUUCUACAAACGUAAACAAAGAAAGGGAUUAAAAAAAAAAGAUGAAAAACUUCUUGUCCACAUCAAGGGUUUUUCAUGUACAGGUUUUUCUGGUAUAUUUGGGUAGCUAUAGGCCACAAGGUUUGCUUCCUCUUUGGAAAAACUUACAUUUCAUAGUACGGCAAUUCACAUGUUAAUUCUCAAAGUGCAUGGAAUUCCAUGGACUUUCUAGCUCCAAACAAAAGGAAUGGAAAAUUUUAAGUGAAUGAACUAGCAGGUGUAGUAAAACUUAUUAAGCUCUCCGAAUCAUCACCUGACAUUACUAAUAUACAUAUGCCUAACUCAACUUGGAAAAAUGUACUAGACUUGCACUUUUGUAGCUCUCAAUCACUCUAUUUAUGAGAAAGAUGGUUAGAUUAAGAAGGUGAACAAGGAUUGGGAGAUAACCAUUGGGUGUGAGAUGAAGUGGAUUAAUAAUUUGAACUUGGGCCAAGUUCAUGCGCGAUCGAUUGGAUCGGGAUUUCUCCUCGGAUGCUUUACUAUAUUGUUGUUCUAUUUCACAACGUAUGAUCGAUAUGUGAGUCUAGGUGCUGGUAAGUGUUCAUCACUCAGUUUGUAUUCUGAUUAAUUGAAGCCUAGUAAGAGGUAUGACAUGAGCUACGAGUCUUUUAUUCUUUUGAGGUGAUUAUUAUGUUGAGUUUUAUCGAGUAUAAGCAGCUGAAAUACCGUUCUCUAGCUGCUUGAGUUGUUGGAGAAACAACAGUCUUUUCGCAUAAAAAGGAGGUUCUGAGAUUGUAUCACUGUAACAAAAACGGUCUAUAGCGACACUUUUAAAUGUCGGUAUAGGUCAAAAAAGUGCUGCUGGCUAAAUUUACCGACACUUUUGAAAAGUGUUACUAUAUGUGGGGUCGCUAGGUAUAUAGUGACAGUUAAAGAGUGUUGCUAUAAUCUAAAAGAGUGCUGCUAAUCUACCAACAUUUAUUUAAGUAUCUAGCAACCGUCAGAACUCUACCUCGUUGGCUGCGGUGGCGGAGGAGGACGAGAGGAAAUGAUCUUCGUCUAGGAUUUCAGUCGAUUAAGUGAGGGGAGAAGAAAAAAUGAUAAUCGAUUUUUUUUUUCUUUUUCUUUUCUUUUCUUUUCUGUUUGUAAUCGGGCCGAAUGGGCUAAGUGGAGUGGGAUGAGUAGAGUACCCUUUUAUUUUUAGUUGGAUUGGACUUUAUAUUUAGUCAUUAGUAGGAUUUUUUUUAAGUUUUGGCAUAAAUGUGACACUUAUACAAAAAUGUCCUAAACAUGUGUCGCUAUAACCUAAUUCUGUUAUAGUGUAUUUUGCGAGACUCUCCUACCCCGAUUUAAUUAAUUUCUCUUAUAUGAUAUUAUGAUUCAAGUGUUGGCCUUAUGGUCAAAAUCCGCCCACAUAUAAGAGAGAGUGUUGAUUAUAAAAGAUAAGAAGCACCGUUCUGUAGCAGCUCAAGUUGUUAGAGAACAAAUUCUUUUGAAUAUUUUGUUGUAGUUACGUAACUAAUCUUGUAAUUGGCUUGCAGUUGAUUUUGAAGGACCAUCAACUCACGCGAGUUCUAAUCCUUUGGAAGAGAAGAUAAGCUCCGAAAAAUUAGGUAAGCCUGAGUUUUCAAAUCCUUCGGAAGAGAAGAUAAGCUCCGAAAAAUUAGGUAAGCCUGAGUUUUCAGUUAUUGAGGUUGAAUUUUAGUUAUACUAUUUCAAGCUUUAGAUAUCACUAGAAUAGUACUAGGUCUGUGACGAAUUGAGUAAGUACACUUAUUUAAUAAAAAAUGCGCAUGCAAGUGCGUGCUGGGCAAGGCUUGACAAAUGCAGUUCGAGUAGAGCUUUUCCGGAAGCUUUAAUUAAAGCUUGACAAAUGCAAUUAGAGUAGAGCUUUUUGAGAAUCUUUAAUUAAAGUUUCCACUAGUUGGAGACACAGGUGAAAGUUUCAAAUUAGAGUUUCAUCUUUCGAGUUUGGUCGAUAUUUCGGCUUCCUGUUUUAACUAGAAGCUCUAGAUAUACUUGCUCACGAAGCUUUGACUUCUGCUUGUCGAUUAGUAUUGGGAAGCUGGACCAAAUAAGCACAAACCAAUGAAAAGAUGCAGUGAUGAGAUUUUUCAGAUUCAUGUUAUAUGUUAUCGUCUUUCUCAUCUGUCAUACUGAGAGUCUGAAUAAGUUGAAGCCUCAGAAUAAAGAGGAUGGAUCAAAGAAAAUUCAUCAGUAUCUAGCCAACCUACUGUUUUUUUUUUCUAAAAAAAAUUACUUUGACCAAUAUAUAUAUAUCUAAUAUAUGAGUAUAUGGGAUCAUGUUGUAGGUGGUGAACAGGUUGAAAAUGUGAAGCCUCAGAAGAAACUAAUCUGCAACUUCGCAGAACCAAGAUCUGAUGUGUGUGAAAUGGACGGCGAUGUUCGUAUUCAUGGCAAUUUUUCUUCUAUAUACUUUAUUAAUUCCUUCGAGAGCGACACUUCAGUAACAAAUGAGACUUGGCAAGUCAAGCCUUAUGCUCGAAAACACGACCGCACGUUAAUGGAAAGAAUUCGAGAACUUACCAUAGCAUCUUCGCAUGAUCCUUUUGAUGCCCCUACUUGCACCGUAAAUCAUAGCAUCCCCGCCGUUGUAUUUGCGACAGAAGGAUAUACCGGAAACUUCUACCAUGACUUCACUGAUGUACUGAUUCCUCUCUUCAUAACUUCUCGACAGUUCGAUGGUGAAGUUCAAUUCCUUAUAUCACAAAUGCAUAUCUGGUGGGUUCACAAAUAUGAAAGGAUUUUUAAGAAGCUCUCGAACUACGAAGUUAUCGAUCUCGGUAAAGAAGUUAAAGUUCAUUGUUAUCCUCAUGCAAUUGUAGGCCUACACAGCCACAAGCCUUUAAGCAUCGAGCCCUCACGAGCUCCGAAUAACUAUUCCAUGGUCGACUUCGCAAAGUUCAUGCGGACGGCCUACGCUCUAGAUCGGGAUUCACCGAUAAGUUUGCGCGAAAACCCUAGAACCAACAAGCCAAGGCUUUUGAUCAUAGCAAGGAAUCGCACUCGGCAGCUAGUAAAUGCUGACGAAGUUGCUCGAAUGGCGGACGGGCUAGGGUUCGAAGUUGUCAUCGAGGAGGCCUCGUUCUUCAGAACGGUGGCGCAGUUUGCGCAGAUCGUGAACUCGUGUGAUGUGAUGAUGGGUGUUCAUGGCGCGGGCCUCACCAACUCUAUCUUCCUUCCUACUAAUGGAGUGCUCAUACAAGUAGUCCCAUUUGGUAUGCUUGAGGGCGCGAGUAUGGCGGACUUUGGGAUACCUGCAGGGGACAUGAAGUUAAAAUACUUGCAAUAUAGCAUAAGUGAAGAGGAGAGCACUCUCAUAGAGCUUUAUCCAAGGGACCACCCUGUGCUUAAAGACCCCAAGUCAUUGCACAAGCAAGGAUGGUCAGUCUUGAGCAAAAUAUACUUGCGUCAGCAAAAUGUGAGGCUUAAUGUCACAAGGUUUAGGCCUGUUUUAGUGGAAGCUAUGGGGCUUCUUAAUUAGUCAAUAGCAAUAAUGCUAUGGUUUGAUGUGUUUAUGGGGUGUGUACAAGCAAUUUGAGUUAGACAAAGGAGUUUACUUGGUUUAAUGUGUGAUUUUUAUCAACUUAUAAAGAUUAAAAAUUAAUAAUUACAUCACUUGUGUGUUAUUCUUUCUUUUUUAAAACAAAUAAAAGCUGAAAUCUCUCUCUCUCUCCUCUAGAGCACAAACUUGUAAAUUUCAUGUAAUACUCCAAGUGAAACAUGAAAACAUAAUGAAGUUGGGAAAGCAUUGAAUCAUGUAAACCUAAUGGAGGUUCGAAUUCAAGGAACUACAUAGAAUUUGUGAAGGCCUUAAUUGUCACGCCUCGGGACCCAGUGGAAGCCCGUCCGGUGCGUGUCCAGACUCGCCAUAUGCCUACAACAUAUAAGGCGUUUACAACAAAGCGAUAAUUAAAACAAAGAUAAACGAGUAUCUAGAGUUAUCAGAGCAUGAGUAUAACUAGAUUCUAAUAGCAAGUGGAUAAAAGAACUAAACAACUAACAUAAACCAUAAAGGUAAAUAUAUCAAGAUUCCGAAUACAAGUGCUAGAUAUACAAAAGUGGUGGUUUCUAUAUAAGAUACAAAACUCUCAACCUCUCCAAGUAAAAAAUAAAAAGAGAGGUGAACCACCUAAUAGCAAAACCCUCGCAACUAGCUAGUAGCGACACCCUUACCGCGGUCCCUAGCCUCUCCCGGUGUGGAAGGCUCUGUAACACAAACAACAAAACAGGAGGCGUGAGAACUAUUAAACAAUAGUUCCCAGUGGGUAAGCCGCCGACAUUAGCGAAAUACACCACUAGGUUAUGGAGACAUAAGUAGUAAGUUCUAACAUUUAAUUAAAAUGAACAACAUGUAUGCUAAAGCAUGAAAUAAACUUACUAAACUACUAUGCCUCUACUUAGCAUGAAUUCUGCAAGAAUAUGAGCUAUUCUAACAUGAAUGAGCAUGUAUGUAAAUAGCAUAAUGUCCACGAGUACAACUAGUAGAAUGUCAACAUUUACUAAAUAGUCUAAUGUCACAUUGCAUUUAAGUUCAAUAUUGUUCCAAUCAUAUAGGACAUACACAAGGGUAGUUCGGCUUGCGCCGUGCCUAAUGGCCCCGUGGUGGUCAACAUUCCCACCCUAGGAAUGAGCCUCCCCCACGACAUCCCAUUUCAGCGUCCAAUCCCGCACGGGCGAACUUAUGUCGCGAUGGCUAUCUCCGGAGUGCCGGCUUGUGGGGAGCGACCCUCACAAGCAUGUGCGAAUGAGCACAAUGACAAGCAAGGGUAAUCAUCCUUCUCAAGUCCAAUGUCAUCAUGUUUAAAACAUGGUAUAAAGGCUAAUGUCCCAACGGCCUAUUACUAUGUCAUCAAGUACAUGUUUAACUAUUUGCUAAGUUGAAUGCCACUUUAUGACAUUUAAUGUCCACUAUGUCAAGCAUGAGUUUUAUGUCCAAUAGCAUAUUAUACUUAUCAUUUUCACUAUAUGAAACAUGAUUUUAAGCCAUAUAGAAGAAUGCUAUUCGGGAUUUUUAGUGCAAUAGUCUUCUCCUAAAAUUUUAUCCUAAAAAAAGACCUGUUAAAUUUUUAUUUGUAAAUAUAGUCCUAUAAAAACGGUAAAUGAUUCACCGCUUUUAAAAGCGGUGAACCAUUUACCGCUUUCUUUCUUUUUUUUACUUCUUUCUAUAUUUCUACGAUGGUAAAAGUGGUGAAUGGUUCACAGUUUUUAUUCUUUUUCUACUCUAAAAAAGAAGUUAUGAAUGCGGUGAAUCAUUCACCGCAUUUAGAGGUCUAUUUUUAUAAUUAAUUUUUUUAAAAAACUAUUUUUAUAUAAUUAUAAAAAUUGAUAGGAUUAUUUAUAAAAAAAAUUCACGCUAUUCACUUGCAUGAAUACUAUAUACAAAUCUCUCUACUACAUAGAGGUAGAAUAUCAUGAUACAUAACAUAUAUAUUUUAAGCAUUCUAAAAUUCAUAUAUACCCUAUCUAGCAUGAAUAUGCAUGUAUUUUUAUUUUACAAUAAGAAAUAUAACAUAGGGGGAAUUCACCCAUUUCGGUGAGGUCAAACCCACCAAGAACUCCUCGGAUUCCCUUCGUUUGUGCCAACGAAGAUGUCUACUAGUCUCCUAACUUCUUAAAGAAAAUUCUAGGAGGGUUAGACGAAAUGAACGAACACUUCACGUGUUCAUCUUUAACCAACCGAAGAAUAUGGCAAAACUUACCUAAAAUGGUAGAAAAAAUCCUCCUAAAAUUCAAAUGGAAGAUAGAGCCCUUCAAAAUCAACCCUAAGGAAGGUUCUACACCUAUCAAUUAGGUCUCAAAAUCUACAAAUCAAAAACCUCCAAAUAAACCCUAGAUUUCUCAUUUCUAGGUUUCAAUACAAAAAUCCGCCAAAAACAUGAUCUAAAGGGAAGAUCAAAGCUACUAACCUCUCUUGAUGCUCCAAAUCUAGUUAGCAAGGUGCUAAGGUUGAAGAUCUCUCCUCCAACAAGCUCCAAACAAAGCUCUAAUGCUUCUCCAAUGGUGGAAACCUAACAUGAAGCAAAGAGGAGAGGAAAUGAGAGAUCAAACUAAGCUAAAACCAUAAAAAGGGAGAAAAACCACGGGAGAGGGCUCCCACCUGUGAUCUCCACGAACUAGGGCUCAAAAGAGCUCUCCAAAGGCUGUGAGGGGGUUAUAUAGAGUUGUAACAAUCUCAAAAACACCCAUCAACAACGCACAGUCUGCACUGCACUGCGUAUCGAUGAUACGGGAUUGGGUACCGGUACCAGGCAGCAGCACGCGCAAACCCGAGUCUCGGGUCAGUGAGAAAAUGCACGGGGUACCGGUACCAUCGCGAUGCAGUACCGGUACCAGGUCCAGUACCGGUACCAAGCCGAUGCGGUACUGGUACUCUGUCCUGCAGAGUUGAACCCGAGAGCAGACCAAAUUCUUUAUUUUAGAGACUUUGGUGCUAAGUUUUAAACCUCACUCCUUGGAAUGCGAGUCAUAGAUCGGAACAUAGUCAACGACCCUCCAGAAUACCUGGAACAACUCGGAAUACAGAUCAAAUACUCGAACCUUGCAAUUUGCUAAAAUUCAGUGUGUUACAUUCUCCCCUCCUAAAAAGGAGUUUCGUCUGCGAAACUAGAAGCAGGUUACCUCAAGAUUCCAUCUGAAAAAGAGAGGGAUAGUAUUCCUGCAGUGCGCUCUCUAACUCCCACGUGGCCUCGCGUUUAUCGUGGUUGCUCCAAAGGACCUUCACAUAAGGAAUAUCGCGAUUGCGAAGCUUCUUCACCUCGCGGGCCAAAAUCCUCACCGGUUGCUCUUCAAAGCUUAAAUCAUCCCUCAAUUCCAACGGGAUAAUAUCCAAAACGUGAGACGGAUCGAAAAUGUACUUCCGAAUGACCGAUACAUGAAUGACAUUGUGCACUCCCGAUAGGUUCGGCGGUAGAGCAAGUCGAUAUGCUACCGGGCCUACACGCUCCAAAAUCUCAUACGGUCCAAUAAAACGGGGACUCAACUUACCCCCAAUACCAAAUCUUCUAACUUCCUUUGUCGGCGAGACCUUCAAGAAUACAUGAUAUACAACUUGGAAUUCCAAAUCUCGUCGACGCUUAUCUGCAUAACUGCUCUGUCUACUCUGAGCAGUUAGCAAACGCUCUCAAGCAAUGCGAACUUUAUCCUCAGCUUCUUGAAGCACAUUGGGGCCUAAAGCCAAUCUCUCGCCAACUUAAUUCCAAUGAAGUGGAGAUCUACACUUCCGUCCAUAAAGUGCUUCGAAGGGUGCCAUCUUGAUGCUUGCUUGAUAACUAUUAUUAUAAGCGAACUCCGCCAUUGGUAAGUGCUGUGACCAUCCUCCCUGGAAGUCUAUCACGCAAGCUUGAAGCAUAUCCUCCAGAGUCUGAAUAGUGCGCUCAGAUUGUCCAUCACUCUAAGGGUGGAAAGCCGUGCUGAAAUUCAAUCGAGUGCCUAAGGCGUCCUGCAGACUCCUCCAAAAGUGAGAUACAAAUCUAGGAUCUCGAUCAGAUACUAUAGAAGUAGGCACUCCAUGAAGCCGCACAAUCUCAUCCAGGUACACUUGUGCGAGCUUCUCACCUGUCCAAAUCGUGUGAAUAGGUAUAAAAUGAGCCGAUUUAGUCAACCUAUCCACGAUCACCCUAAUAGCAUCAUGCCCGGCAUGAGAGCGGGACAAUCCCAUAACAAAGUCUAUGGCGGUGUUCUCCCACUUCCAAACGGGAAUCGGCAAGCUCUGAAGUUUUACCGCGGGUAGGCGGUGCUCCGCUUUUACUUGUUGACAAGUUAAACAUCGAGCUACAAACUCGCCAACAUCCUUUUUCAUUUCGGGCCACCAAUAAAGUAACUUCAAAUCCUUGUACACCUUGGUGCCUUCCGGAUGUAUAGCAUAAGGUGCACGGUGAGUUUCAAGAAGAAUAUCCUCCUUAAUUCCGGGUUCCGCCGGUAUACAAAUCCGUCCACAGAAAUGCAGCAACCCUUGGUCAUCCACAAGGAAAUCAUUGGUGUAAUCAUCAACCAUCUUAGCUCGAAUCUUUUGCAACUCCACAUCAUGAACUUGCUAUUUUUUAAUCCUUUCCAAUAAUGUCGGCUGUACAACCAAUGCCAUCAAUCUCAAGGGUGUAUCAGAAGCCACCAUUGUUUGCCACCACGAAUGACGCACCUCGCAUGAUCGAUGGAUCUUGGCUGUGGGGUAGUAUUCAUGAUUCAUAUUAGUACGUAUAUGGAUAUUAGGUAUUGCUGGUCCAUGACUUCCAAUAAAUGCAAGCAUCUACUGUUAAUUACCCCUGUGGUAUUAGGGCACCUUCGAUUAAGAGACCCUUAUAGGUGGGAUGUGAUGAAUUAUAUCUUGAUUUAUUGAAUCCUAAGUAAAUGUAUUAGGAUUCAGUUGGAUUUGAGGUUGACUAGGUCCUAAAUAUGUGUUAAGACCUAGUCGAUAUUAAACUCUAUGUAUUAGAGUCUAAUUGGCUCUAAGUAUAUGUCUUAGAGUCCGAUUAUAUUCACCUUGGUUGUAUAUUCCAAUGUGGAGAUGUGACCAAAUCCCAAGUAUAUGUAUUAAGGUAGGUCGGAUUUGACAUUACUCGAAAGUAGAGAGUGGCUAAUUCCUGAGUGUAUGUAUCUGGAUUAAUCGAGUUUAACAUAUUUUCCCACUCUAGUUAUAAGUGCUAGAGUGAGGAUCUGACUAAGCCCUAAGGUAUUGCGUUAGGGUCGUCGGAUUUGAUUUGCAUGAGCUCUAAGUAUAUGUAUUAGAGUUCGAUCGGGUAAGGGUUUCACUCUAGGUAGAUGUGCUAGAGCAAAAAAGGCUGACUAGACUCCAAGUGUAUGUGGUAGGAUUAGCCGAGCUUGGUUUGACUUCUACUCUAGGUAUAUAUGCUAGAGUAAAAGGUUGACUAGACCCUAAGGAUAUGUGUUAGGGUUAGUCGGAUGAAUUCUAAGUAUAUGUGUUAGAGUUCGAAUGAACUUGAUAUAUGUUUUUGACUGAAUUCUAAGUGUAUAGCUUAGAACUCUGUCGAUUUGGAGAUGGUUUUGCCUUAGUAUAUGUGCUAAGGCUGGUGGGGUUGACUUAACCCUAAAUACAUGUAUUACGGGUAGUCGAUAUUUGAUUUUUACUCUAGGUAUAUAUGCUAGAGUAAAAAGGUUCAUGAUGAACUUGGUAUGCAUGGUUCAUGACAUUUGGGUAUUGGUGUAUAGAAUUUGAGGAUGAUUUGGUUCAUGGGAUGUACGAGAUUUGGUUCAUGGGAUGUGAUGUAUGGUUCAUGAGUUUUAUGACUCAUAGGGUUUGAUGUAUGGUUCAUGUAUUUAGUUCAUAAAUUUGGGUAUGGUUUACGGGAUUGGGUUCAUGAACUUGAUGUACGGUUCAUGAGGUUUGGUUUAUGGUUCAUGAACUUGGUGUAUGGUUCAUGAGGUUUGGUUUAUGGUUCAUGAACUUGGUUUAUGGACUUGGUUCAUGGUUCAUGAACUUGAUUUAUUUGGUUCAUGAACUCAGUUUAUGGUUCAUGAGGUUUGGACGAGGUUCGGUAUGUGGUUCAUGGUUUUUGGUUUAUGAACUUGGAUAUGGUUCAUGAACUUGGUUUAUGGACUUGGUUCAUGGUUCAUAAACUUGGUUCAUUUGGUUCAUGAACUUGGUUUAUGGUUCAUGAGGUUAGGCAUUUGGAAUUUGGUUCAUGAACUUGGAUAUGGUUCAUGGAUUUGGUUUAUGGACUUCAGGUUCAUGGGAUUUGGCUUAUGAACUUGGGUAUGGUUCGUGGUGUUUGGUUCACGACUUGGGUAAGCUUCAUGAACUUGGUUCAUGGUUCAUGGUUUAUGAGUUUUGGUUCAUGAGACUUGAUUCAUAAACUUGGGUAUGGUUCAUGGUGUUUGAGGUUUGGGUCAUGAACUUGGCUCAUGAUUCAAGAAAUUUGGGUUCUAUUUAUGAUUGGAUUUGGAUUUAGGGCUAUUUGUAGACCGGAUUGGAUUUGAGUUUGGGUUUUUAUUUGUCGACUUGAUUUGGGUUUUGGGUUUGGUUUUAUUUGUGGACUUGAUUUGGGUUUAGGUUUUUUGGGUUUAGGUUUUGGUUUUGAGUUUUUAUUUGUGGACUUGGGUUGGGUUUGGGUUUUAUGGGUUUAGGUUUGGGUUUUGGAUUUUGAUUGGAUUUGAUUUGGGUUUGGGUUUUUCGGUUUCGGUUUUAUUUGUGGACUUGGAUUUGAUUUUGGGUCCUUAUAUGGAUUUGGUAUAGAUUUGGGUUCGGGUUUGGAUUUUAUUUGUAGACUGGAUUGGAUUAUGGUUUUGGGUUUAGGUUUGGGUUUUGGGUUUGGAUUUGGAUUUGGUUUUGGGUUUGGAUUUGGGUUUUGGUUUUAUUUGUGGACAUGAUUUGGGUAUGGUUUUGGGUUUUAUUUGUGGAAUUGGUUUUCUUUUCAAUUCUAUUUCGGGUCCGAAAAAAUUCUCUUUUGAUUUUGCAAUUCGAUUUAGGGUCCGAAGAAAUCCCCUUUUUGAUUUUGCAAUUCGAUUUAGGGUCCGAAGAAAUCCCCUUUUGAUUUUGCAAUUUGAUUUGCGGUCCGAAGAAAUUUUCUUUUAAUUUUGUAAUUUGAUUUGGGGUCCGAAGAAAUUUUCUUUUUGAUUUUAAUUUGAUUUGGGGUUCGAAGAAAUCCUCUUUUGAUUUCAAUUUGAUUUGGUGUCCGAAGAAAUUUCCUUUUUGAUUCUAAUUUGAUUUAGGGUCCGAAGAAAUUUUCUUUUGAUUUCGAUUUGACUUGAGGUCCGAAGAAAUCCCCUUUUUGAUUCUAAUUUGAUUUGGGGUCCGAAGAAAUCCCCUUUUUGAUUCUAAUUUGACUUGGGGUCCGAAUAAAUCUUUGUUUUGAUCUUGAUUUGGAGUCCGAAGAAAUUUCCGUUUGAUUUUGAUUUGGGGUCCGAAGAAAUUCCCGUUUUGAUCUCGAUUCGGGGUCCGAAGAAAUUCCCGUUUGAUCUCGAUUUGGGGUCCGAAGAAAUCCCCGCUUGAUUUCGAUUGAUUUGGGGUUCGAAGAAAUCCCCGCUUGAUUUCGAUUUGAUUUGGGGUCCGAAAAUAUCCCCCUUUUGAUUCUAAUUUGAUUUGGGGUCCGAAGAAAUCCCUCUUUUGAUUUUAAUUUGAUUUGGGGUUCGAAGAAAUUCCCGUUUUGAUCUUGAUUUGAGGUCCGAAGAAAUCCCCGUUUUGAUCUCAAUUUGGGGUCCGAAGAAAUUCCCGUUUUGAUCUCGAUUUGGCUUGAAUCUUAGCUGGUUUGAAAGUUUUGUGGAUUGAUUCAAUGUUCUCGAAAGGGAUUGAAGGGUCCGAAGAAACGGAGAAUCUUUGAUUCCCUUCCCCUCUUUUUUCGAAAACACCGAACUGGUAAGGUUGGAUAUGACGGCGACGAAGAUGAUGAUGGUGGCAUAGAUCUUAACGGCCGGCAGAUUUGAUUUGACAUUUUCAAAAGAUGCUAAAGGGGCCGAAGAAACGGGGAAUCAAAGAUUCCCCUCCCCUCUUCUUUUGAAAAUAUCAAACCGGCGAUGCUGGAGAUGACGUCGGUGAAGAUGAUGACGGUGGCACGGAUCUGUUCGGCCGGCGGAUUUGGUUCGAUAUUUUCAAAAGAUGUUGAAGGGUUCGAAGAAAUGGGGAAUCGAAGAUUCCCCUCUCCUUUUCUUUCGAAAAUAUUAAAUCGGCGAUGCUGGAGAUGACGUCGGUGAAGAUGAUGACGGUGGCGCGGAUCUAUUCGGCCGGCGGAUUUGGUUUGAUAUUUUCAAAAGAGAUUGAAGGGUCCGAAGAAACGAGAAAUCUUUGAUUCCCCUCCCCUUUUCUUUCGAAAAUACCAAACCGUCGAUGCUGAAGGUGGUCGCGGCAAUGUAGAUCACCAAUUCCAUCAAUUAACGGCUUCGAAUGGGGUAUUGAGAGGUCCGAAGAAACGGGAAGCCAUUGGCUCCCGUCCACUCUCCUAUCGAAGUCGUCUAAAUGGUGUGGAUGACUACUGUAGCAGGACCUAAAAAAAUGAAAAAGAAAAAGAGGGGGAGAAAAGAGAUCUUUUUUUUUUUAAAAAUUUUUUUGAUAUGUUUUAUUAUAUAUUUUUUUUCUUUCUUGUUUCUUUUUUUUUUUUUUUUUAAACCUGUUGAUCAGAUGACGGAUUGGAUGAAGCGGCUCGACGAUCUCUCAUCCUUUCUGCAGCUCGGCGAUCUCUCCUCCUUUAAAUUUUUUUGUACGUAGGAACGUGUGUAGCAAGGGUGGAAAUAAUAUUAUCUCUCAUCUUUUUAUUGUAAUCUCUCUCUGUAUCGCUAUCGUCUCCCUCUAUCUAUUUGUUCUCUCCUCUUUUUGUAUUGUCCCCCGUAUUGAAUUUUAUUCUCAUAUUUAUAGUAGAAGGGGUGGCGAGAGAUAUUUUGAAGAGUCGGUUAGAAAUUCGAAAUUCGAAAUCAAAUUUUGAAUCGGUUGUUGGAUGGAUAGGUAUUCAAAAUUCGAAUGGAUGUGGUUGGUUGGAAGAUAUUUUGGGAGUUGGUUGGGGAUUCGAAAUUCGAAAUCGGUUGUUGUGGUUGGUUCGAAGAUAUUUUGGGGGUUGGUUGGGGAUUCGAAAUUCGAAAUCGAAUUUUGAAUCGGCUGUGAUUGGUUGGAAGAUUUUUUGGGAGUUGGUUGGGAAUUCAAAAUUCGAAAUCGAAUUUUGAAUAUGUUGUGAUUUGUUGGAAGAUAUUUUAGGAGUUGGUUGGGAAUUCGAAAUUCGAAAUCGAAUUUUGAAUCGAUUGUGAUUUGAAAUUGAAUGUCGAAUGGGGUUGUUAGGAUAACAGAUAUUUUUUAAUUGGAUAUUGGAUUUUAGAAUGUGGAUAUGAGCCGUCAUUGAUUGGGCCCACUUUAAUGAAAUUUGUUGGGCACAAAUAAUAGUAUUCAAUGGGCUGAAAUGAGGUCCGAAUUAUUGUAUAGGCCUAAAAUUUUAACGGACUUUAAUGAGGCCUACCAACUCACAUUCAUGAAUGGGCCUAUUGUAGAUUUAAAUUAUUAUUGCCCCUUUUUUUUUUUUUUUUAAAACUUCAAACAACCACCUUCAACUUCAACCGCUUCAUUUGCUCAAACAACGGCGGUUGAGUGACUACAAGCAUCGCUAAGUUUUCCGUCGAUUUCUGACUUAGCGUAUUCGCCACCACGUUAGCUUUGCCCGGGUGGUAGAGAAUCGUCAGAUCAUAAUCCUUGAAUAGUUCCAACCAUCUGCGCUGCCUCAAGUUCAACUCCUUCUGAGUGAAUAAAUAUUUCAAGCUCUUGUGAUCCGUGUACACUUCACACCGCUCGCCAUAGAGAUAGUGACGCCAUAGCUUUAAUGCGAAUACUACGACUGCCAACUCCAAAUCAUGUGUAGGAUAGUUUCUCUCAUAAUCCUUCAAUUAGCGAGAAGCAUACGCGAUCACCUUUCCAUCCUGCAUCAAGACACAGCCUAAUCCAUUAAAGGAAGCAUCACUAUAAAUCACAUACCCUACUCCAGCAACUGGUAGGGUCAAGAUCGAGGCGGUCGUCAAUCUUCCCUUUAACUCUUGGAAGCUCCUCUCGCACGCAUUAUUCCAAAUGAAUUUAAUGCCUUUGUGCGUGAGCCGCGUGAGGAGAGUAGAUAACCUUGCAAAUCCCUAAACGAAUCUCCGGUAGUAGCCGGCCAAUCCAAGGAAACUCCGAAUCUCGAUGACACUCGUCGGUCUAGGCCAACCCUCGAUUGCUUCAAUCUUUCUAGGAUCCACGGCUAUACCCGAUCCCAAAUCAAAUGUCCUAGGAAUGCCACCUCUCGAAGCCAAAAUUCACACUUUUUUAACUUGGCAAAGAGUUUCUUUUCUCGAAGCACUUGAAGUACAAGUCUUAAAUGCUCAUCGUGAUCCUUGUCACUUCGGGAAUAAACUAGAAUAUCGUCGAUGAACACCACGACGAACCUGUCUAGAUAAGGCUUAAAAACACGGUUCAUUAGAUCCAUAAAAGCUGCCGGGACAUUAGUAAGCCUAAACGGCAUAACAGUAAACUCAUAAUGUCCAUACCGUAUUCUAAAAGCCGUCUUCGAUACAUCCUCAGGCUUGAUCUUUAACUGGUGGUAUUCCGACUGUAAGUUUAUCUUGGAAUACACAUUUGAUCCUUGAAGCUGAUCAAACAAGUAUCAAUCGUCGACAACGGAUACUUGUUCUUUAUUAUUACUUUCUUAAGUUCGCGAUAGUCCACACACAAACGAAGUGAUCCGUCAUUCUUCUUAACAAAUAGAACCGGUGCUCCCAAAGGUGAAACACUUGGUCGAACGAAGCCUUUAUCCAAAAGAUCUUGCAAUUGUGCCCUCAGCUCUUUCAACUGAGCCGGUGCCAUCCUAUAGGGUGCCUUUGAGAUUGGGAUAGUUCUAGGGGCGAGAUUUACCAUAAACUCAAUCUCCUUAUCAGGUGGCAUACCAGGUAGCUCUGUUGGAAACACAUCACCAAACUCCCGUACCACUAGGAUAUCCUCAAUCCUAGGGGUAUCAUCAUCACCCCUCAACACAACACUAGCCAAAUAGGCUAAGCAACCCCUGUUGAUCAACUAUCUAGCUCGAGAUGAGCUGAUCGUCAUCGCAAAUAGCGAACUCUGACAUUCCCUAAACACCAUUUCCUUCUGACCCAGUUCUCUAAAUGUGACAGUUCGAUUCUUGCAAUCGAUAGUGGCGAAGUAUCUUGUCAGCCAAUCCAUGCCCAAAAUCACAUCAAACUCUCUAAGUUUAUGCAAAACUAAUAAAUCCACUGGCAUGAUCCAAUCUCCUACCCGAACAGGGCAACUGGGGCAAAACUCCCUAAUGUUCAAAGUGUGGUUGGGGACAACAACACGUCUUGGAUGCAACAAAGAGACUAGAGGGAUGCCAUGCAACUCGGCAAACAACCGAUCUAUAAAUGAAUGCGAUGCACCGGUAUCAAAUAAAACUCGAACUUUAAUGCCAUUUAAUAAAAUGAUACCUGCCACCACAUCCUCAGCCGCUGCCGCUUUCUCUGUCUGGGCCGCAUACAUGUGCCCGCUCGGGGCCUGUCGUGACCCCUCAGUCUGUCGCUGGACGGGUGGCGGCCCAGGCUGGUAGUGCGCCGAUGGAGUCCCCUGACUAGUAGCUGGUAACGCCGGUGCCGAUGUAGAUGACGGUGCCGGUGAUGAACUCCUCGGGCACUCGGUUCGGAAGUUGCCCUCCUGGCCACAAAAGAAGCACCUGCCUCCCUGCUGUGGACACUGCGGUGGAAUGUGGGGACCACCGCAGAUCACACACUGGGGAGGUUGACGACGAUCAGAUCCUCCUCGCUGCAUAGAUGAGCCACACCCUCGCGACUGGCUUCUAGGGCGUCUCGGUGGCCUCCUAGAGUGCGCCUGACUAGCACCCUCAGCCGCGGGCCUCUUGCCCUUACCCUUGUCCAAGCCCUCUCUCCGCUCUUGCACAUUCGCCGCGCCCCUCUCCACAAUGAGAGCGCGGUUCACCACUUUCUGGUAGGUCUGUAGAUUUGACGAUUGCACAAACCGAAAAAUCGACGGUUGAAGUCCACUUCAAAAAAUAUGGGCCUUAUCCUCGUCGUCCCGCACGACGAAAGUCACGCAAUGGUGGAGCCGGGAGAACUCCCGCUCAUACUCGGCCACAGUCCGCUCUCCCUGGCGCAAGCUGCGCAAAUCCUUCUCCAUUUGCCUCUUUACGCGGUUGGAAAAGUAGUGCGCCAAUAGAAGCUCCUUGAACCUUUACCAAAUAAUAGUAGAUAGAUCGGUGUUGGGGUUAUCUCAGAUGUCCAACCACCAACGAUAGGCCUCGCCGUCCAGGUGGUGACUGGCGAGCCAAACUCUGUCUCUCUCCUCUACGAAGGUAUCAUAGAAAGCUUCUUCAUAUGCAUCAACCACUUCUCCACAACCCAGUGGUCGGCCUUCUCUCCAUCGAAAAUCUGAGGAUUAUACCUUCUAAACUCAUUGAGGCGAUCCAUGAGCUGGUCCCGCUCCUCUCCAGCAACCAUCACAGAGAAAAUUGCCCUCGCCGGAGGCACCUGAGCUGGUGGUGCUGCUACAACCUCCUCCCGAGGUGCAACUACCAGUGCCGCUCGUGAAGAACCAGGCGCGGGAGACGGCACCCUCGGUGCAACAUCCUCAAUUGGCGCGGGUGGUGUAGAAAUCUGGGCCUCCCUCGCAGCAUACUGCUGAAGUAGCAAGUCCUUCAAUUGCUUCAACCGCGCCUCCUAUCGGCGCGCCGCAUCGGCCUGCUGCUGAGCCGCCGUCGCCUGCUGAGUCACCAAGUCAGUGAGGACCGCAAGCUGGGUCCUUAACUCACGGACCUUACUCGAUCCGGAGGUAGCGGAGGUCUCCACCUUCUUAAAGUUCGCCGCAUUGUCCGCUCCAACAGGUUUAGAGCGAGUAGUCGUCAUAAUCACUACGACAACAUAAAACCGCAAGUUAGUGAAACCCACGCUAUCGCAACCCCACUCAAGGAAAAUAAUACCCAAAGUUAUGCGAAAGUAAGGAAGUGUCCUUUACUACUAACUCCCGAUGUUACGUUGUCGGCCGUCAACGUAAUCCUCCGCGAAGUUAGAAGCUUUACUUUUCAAUCAAACUCCAAUUUUUUAGAGUUAUCAUAAAACCCAAUUAUAAUACUUUCACUUACAAGUCAAAUAGACCACGUCUCUCACGAACCUAUAUCCUAUAGUCCAACCAGCCUAAGGUUUGCUAGGUCCACUAAGACUCAACUCUAGGCUCUGAUACCAAAAUAAUCUGUCACGCCCCGGGACCCAGCGGAAGCCUGCCCGGUGUGUGUCCAAACCCGCCAUAUGCCUACAACAUAUAAGGCAUCUACAACAAAGCGAUAAUUAAAACAAAGAUAAACGAGUAUCUAGAGUUAUCAGAGCAUGAGUACAACUAGAUUCUAAUAGCAAGUGGAUAAAAAAAAACUAAACAACUAACAUAAACCAUAAAGGUAAAUACAUCAAGAUUCCGAAUACAAGUGCUAGAUAUACAAAAGUGGUGGUCUCUACAUAAGGUACAAAACUCUCAAUCUCUCCAAGUAAAAAACAAAAAGAGAGGUGAACCACCUAAUAGCAAAACCCCUCGCAACUAGCUAGUAGCGACACCCUUGCCGCGGUCCCUAGCCUCUCUUGGUGUGGAAGGCUCUGUAACAAAAACAACAAAACAUGGGGCGUGAAAAUUAUUAAAUAAUAGUUUUCAGUGGGUAAGCCGUCGACAUCAGCGAAAUACACCACUAGGUUAUGGAGGCAUAAGUAGUAAGUUCUAGCAUUUAAAUAAAAUGAACAACAUGUAUGCUAAAGUAUGAAAUAAACUUACUAAACUACUAUGCCUCUGCUUAGCAUGAAAUUCUGCAAGAAUAUGAGUUAUUCUAACAUGAAUGAGCAUGUAUGUAAAUAGCAUAAUGUCCACGAGUACAACCAGUAGAAUGUCAACAUUUACUGAAUAGCCUAAUGUUACAUUGCAUUUAAGUUCAAUAUUAUUCCAAUCAUAUAGGAUCUACACAAGGGUAGUCCGGCUUGCGCCUUGCCUAAUGGCCCCGUGGUAGUCAACAUUCCCACCCUAGGAAUGAGCCUCCCCCACGGCAUCCCAUUUCGGCACCCAAUCCCGCAUGGGCGAGCUUAUGUCGCGAUGGCUAUCUCCGGAGUGUCGGCUUAUGAGGAGCAACCCUCACAAGUAUGUGCGAAUGAGCACAAUGGCAAACAAGCAUAAUCAUCCAUCUCAAGUCCAAUAUCAUCAUGUCUAAAACAUGGUAUAAAGGCUAAUGUCCUAAUGGCCUAUCACUAUGUCAUCAAGUAUAUAUUUAACCAUUUGCUAAGUUGAAUGCCACUUUAUGACAUUUAAUGUCCACUAUGUCAAGCAUGAGUUCUAUAUCCAAGAGCAUAUUAUACUUGUCAAUUUCACUAUAUGAAAUAUGAUUUUAAGUCAUAUAGAAGAAUGCUAUAGCUAGGUUAAGAGGUUUAGUCUUAUUAUAUAUCAUAUAUAGGACUAUUCCAAAUUUUAGGGUUAUAUUCCUUUCCUCUUUAUGCCUUGAUGUUCUUGUCAGGCUCAAUCAUACUCACAAGGACCGGACUAUGUAAGACUCAUCUCGCUAGCUUUAGCCGACUUUGUGGGAAGCCGAACUCCAUCCACAAUGGUCUUCAACGGGGGCCCCCGCGCUCUGCCUGUUGUAUGACAUUGGAUCAAUCGAGACUUAUCUCAUACUUCCGUCUUAGUCGACCUUGUGGGGGAGCCGCACUCCAUUCACGAUAAUCAUCAGCGGGGGAGCAGUGCUUUACCUGCGGUAUGACCUUGGCUCAACCGAGAUUUAUCUCAUACUUCCGGCUUGGCCGACCUUGUGAGAAGCCGCACUUCACCCACAACAGUAGUCAGCAGAGGAGCUGCGCUCUACCCACUGUAUGACUCUAGUUCAGCCAAAACUCAUCUCACACUUUCGGCUAGUGAUUGACUCUAAUACUAAAUUAAUGAUCCAAUCCACUAACAAUAAUAACUUAUUGAGCCCAAACCACUGGCCCAAAAUGUUUAAACUCAAUUAUUAUACUUAGAGUUCAUUGUCUCUUAUACUCUGAAACACAAUCCUAUCUCCAUUCGAUGUGGGACUAUUGGAGAGCCACAGACUCCCCCUGGUUUAGACCCUGGUGUUUUCGUUAGUCUAAUCACACACAUAUCCCAAGAUCACCAUGGAAAAAUCAAAUUCGUUGUUGUUUUAACGAACGAAGGCCUCAUUUAGGUCUAGCAUAUGUAUUUUUAAGACUAUUUCUACACCUGUUUCUUAUCGGAUCUAUCUUGUAGGAAUCAUGAAUAUUCCAUGCCAAUCCUAAAAUCUUUCAGUUGCAACCACAUCAGUUAUUUAUGGACUAAACCCUAAUACUUUACCUCUUUGAUUACGUCUCUUGUUAGUGAGUUGAGGCCUUUAUUGGGCAUUGUAAUAACCCAAUCCGCUAUUGAGUUGAGACCUUUAUUGGGUAUACUUUACCUUUUUCAUUACUUCUCUUGUCAAUGAGUUUGAGACUCUUAUUGAGCAUUGUAAUGACCCGAGUAUUGUAAUGACCCGACCUGCUAUUGAGUUGAGACCUUUAUUGGGCAUUUUAAAGACCCUAUCCGAUAGCAAUAAUAACUCGUUGGAAGCAAACCACCGGGCCAAAAUACUUAGGGCGCGUUUGGUUCAAGUUAUAUAAUAUUAUAGAGUAUUUCGAUAUAUCCAAGUAUCUUGAAUUUCUAAAAGAGAUUAUUACUUAUGCUGCAUUAGUGCGUUUGGUUUAAUACAGUAAUGUAAUACUAGAUUGCAGUGAUUAUAGCAUUAAUAUGUUUGGUUCAGUUUAUAAAAUUUAGUAAUGCUGACAUAAAAGUAUAGUUUUUUUCAAAAUUGUCCUUGUUGUGGUCAUUUGAAUAUUAUUUUUUGCGAAAAUGACGAAUGGAGGGAAGGAGNAAGGAACUACAUAGAAUUUGUGAAGGCCUUAAUGAUUCAUUGCUUUUGUGAGACCUUACUUUUCAGAGGGUCACCCAUCUAAAGACUACUUUAGUCCUAACACGCUUAAUUCUUUUAAUCUUUUGGGCCUAGUACAAUGCAAAAUGCUAUAGCUAGGUUAAGAGGUUUAGUCUUAUAUAUUAUAUAUCAUAUAUAGGACUAUUCCAAAUUUUAGGGUCAUAUUCCUUUCCUCUUUAUGCCUUGAUGUUCUUGUCAGGCUCAAUCAUACUCACAAGGACCAUAAUAUGUAAGACUCAUCUUGCUAGUUUUAGCCGACCUUGUGGGGAGCCGAACUCCAUCCACAAUGGUCGUCAACGGGGGUCCUCGUGCUCUGCCUGUUGUAUAACUCUGGAUCAAUCGAGACGUAUCUCACACUUCCGGCUUAGCCGACUUUGUGGAGGAGCCGCACUCCAUUCACAACGAUCAUCAGCGGGGGAGCAGUGCUCUACCUGCGGUAUGAUCCUGGCUCAACCGAGAUUUAUCUUAUACUUUUGGCUUAGCCGACCUUGUAAGAAUGCGCACUUCAUCCACAACAGUAGUCAGCAGGGGAGCCGUGCUCUGCCCACUGUAUGACCCUAGUUCAACCAAGACUCAUCUCAUACUUUCGGUUGCUGAUUGGCUCUAAUACCAAAUGUAACGACUCAAUCCACUAACAAUAAUAACUCAUUGAGCCCAAACCAUCGGCCCAAAAUAUUUAAACUCAGUUAUUAUAAUUAGAGUUCCUUGUCUCUUAUACUCUCAAACACAAUCGUAUCUCCAUUCGAUGUGGGACUAUUGGAGAGCCACAGACUCCCCCUAGUUUAGACUCUGACGUUUUCGUCAGUCUAAUCACACACAUAUCCCAAGAUCACUAUGGAAAAAUCAAAUUCGUUGUUGUUUUAAUGAACGAAGGCCUCAUUCAGGUCUAGCAUAUGUAUUUUUAAGACUAUUUCUACACCUGUUUCUUAUCGGAUCUAUCUUGUAGGAAUCAUGAAUAUUCCAUGCCAGUCCUAAAAUCUUUCAGUUGCAACCACAUCAGUUAUUUAUGGACUAAACCCUAAUACUUUACCUCUUUGAUUACGUCUCUUGUCAGUGAGUUGAGGCCUUUAUUGGGCAUUGUAAUAGCCCAAUCCACUAUUGAGUUGAGACCUUUGUUGGGCAUACUUUACCUAAUUUCAUUACUUCUCUUGUCAGUGAGUUGAGACCCUUAUUGAGCAUUGUAAUAACCCGACCCGCUAUUGAGUUGAGACCUUUGUUGGGCAUUUUAAAGACCCGAUCUGAUGGUAAUAAUAACUUGUUGGAACCAGGCCAAAAUACUUAAGCCCAUUUAUUAUUACUAGAUUAUAUUCAGUCUGGUUAUCUUGACAUCAGCCCAUCACACAAAUAGCCCAAACGAGGCAUGAGAUAUCUCUGAUACUAAAUGUAACGACUCGACCCACCAACACUAAUAAUUCGUUGGGUCCAAACUAUUGACCUAAAAUACUUAAAGCCGACUGGGGUUUAUGGUCCUUUAUAUUUUCAAACACAAUUCCUUUUCUAUCUGAUUCGGGACUAUUAGGGUGUCACGGGCAUGCUUCUUAUUAGAUCGAUCUUUUGGUUAACGGAAAUCACCUGUUUCACUCCAUAUCUUGCCAACUCGACUUUUGAAAAUUGACACAAAAUGGGACCCAAAUUGUCGAAUAAAAAGGCCUGGCCCAUACACACAUCUACAUGUUAGCAUGCUUACAUCUUCUCAUCACUUGGCUCAAGAUUGAGCUCGAGAUCGAGCUCGAUGUAGACUUGGUUUACUCACAUGUUACGUAGCAAGAUGUGUUUUAGUGCUCUAAUAUUUGGCUUGCCUUGGCACAUUUGAAAAUGAUCCUCUCCUAAAUUUUGUUUACGAAUCUAACUAAUCAUGUUUAAAUAUCAUUCGAGGAACUAUUCUUUUUCUGAAGUAUCGUUGUCACAUUAGCAAACACAUAUUUAUAGUAAGGAUUUGCCAUGUUUAGCAUGUGUGAAUUAGUCGCAUAUUCUUUUUGAAGCCUCAAAAAUUUUUUUUUUUUGAGUAAGCAGGGAUAUGCCCUAUUUGUUAUUGAAAAACUUAAGGGGUUUACGGUUGCGACAUUGACCCGAUUGGGUACACCUAGAACGAAACGAAGAACAGCACAACACACUCAAAAGAAGGAAAGAAAGCUCAACAAGUGAGAAGAAGGAAGGACAAACACAAUCCUUCACCCUUCACGUUCAUAGCGCAAAUUGCCAAAGAGUAACAGUGUCUAUCACUUUCCUUCCUAUUUCGUUGCUUCUAGAUAGUUGGGAGUCGAAAAUACGUCUGUUUUGUUCCUUCCACAAUUCCCAGCAUGUUGUUGUGAGCAAGAUAUUGAAACUUCUCCUGAGCCGCCCUCUCACUGAGGUUCAAGCACGAUUCCAUCGAGUAGGUAGGUCCCCUGGUAGUGUGAGCAAGGCGUGCCGAGUUGUCCGAUGUUUUUGUAAUAGAUGAUUCCAUACUGUCGCCGCGUAUCUGCAGGAGAAGAAGAUGUGCUGUAGAUUCUCUCAACUCCUUGAGCAAAGGAUGCAAAUCGAUGGACCAUACCAUCCCCUUUUCGCCAGAGUGUCAGCUGUCAAGAUUUUGUUUCUCGCCGCGAGCCACAUAAAGAUUUUCACUCUUAGUAGGAUCUUGAGCGUCCAAAGCCAAGGGGUAUAGUUUGCAUUUACACCAUCAAAGAUAAGCAAGUUGUACGCACGACGUACCUGAAACUUUCCAUCAUCGUUCUAUCGCUAAGAGAAAGAGUCGUUCUCGUUUGAAAGCAAUGUGUUCUGGAGCAAUGUUUUGAGCUGCAGCAGCUCCUCCUGUUGCUCCCGAAGACACAAGUCCAGUCCGAAGCCUAGGGUGUUGCUCUGGGCGAAACGCCGGAACCAGUUAGCAACCGACAGGUUUCUAUGUCUCGAGAUGGCAUAUAAGUUUGGGAAUUGGUGCCUCAGGAUAAGCUCACCGGACCAUCUCUCAUUCCAAAAGGACGUUGCCUUCCCAUUACCCAGCGAGACAGAAGUGGAUACUUGAAAAGGCGGGGUGGUGUUGAGAAUCCCUUUCCAAAUUGGGCAGCACCUAGGAGUGGAUUUGCAUUCGGUAGUAGGGUGCCGGUGCUUGUAAUGUUUUUGCAUUAGAAGUUUAACCCAUGGGAGGUUGUGGGAGUUGUAGAAAUUUCAAAGUACUUUCAUCAAUAGAGCCGAGUUCAUGACACGUAGGUUUCGGAUACCCAAUCCUCCCCAUUUUUUUGGGCGACACAGAUGUUCCUACUUAACUAGGCAGUGAAAGCCAUUGUGUAGCAUUUGACCCCUCCAGAAGAAAUGCCAACGAAUUUUGUCUAUGGAAUUAAUCACCAAGCCUGGAAGCCUAAACAGUGAACAGAAGUACGCAGGGAUGCUCGAAAGAACCGAAUUAAGUUAUGCAGGGAUGCUCGAAAGAACCGAAUUAAGUAGUAUAAGUCGCCCCCCCUUGAGAGUGUCUGUCCCUUCCAACCCGCCAGGCAGUUACUGAUCUUCUCAAUGAGCGGCAUGUAGUCAGCUCUUCGUAACCUCUUAGGUGAGAGGGGCAAUCCCAAGUAGGUGAGUGGAAAAUCCUUCACUGAGCAACCAAGGGAGUUUGCUAGGGAAAAAGCUUGAGUGUCAGGUAAAUUAAUUAGGGUGACAGAGCUUUUAUUGUAGUUGAUCGUGAGGCCCGAGCACCCCGCAAAAUCCUCAAGAAUAAGCUUAAUAGUAGCAGCCGACCUUGUGGAGCCAUCGAAGAAGAUAAUUAGAUCGUCUGCAAAUUGUAGAGUGUGCAGGCGAGCGUUUUCGAUCCCAAGGUCCGGCAGCAGCUGGGCAAUAGUAGCGAUCUGGAGAAGUCUGAAAAGGACAUCUACACAUAGGAUAAAAGGAGAGGAGAGAGCGGGUCACCUUGCCUUAGUCCACGCUUACAUGAGAAGAUUCUUCCCGGAGUGCCAUUUAGAAUCACUGACGUGCUAGUCGUUUGAAGUAGAGUGUGUAUCCAUGUGGUCCAACGCGGGCUGAAGCCCCUCGCCUGGAGAAGGUCAAGCAGGAAGCUCCAAUUAACUCGGUCGAAGGCUCGCUCGAAGUCGAUCUUCAAAAGGGCUGCUCGGUGCUUGUUAGUGUGCAGGUGAUGGAUGAGUAUAUGGGCGCAGUUGAAGUUGUCGAUAAUAUGUCGACCCUUGAUAAAGGCAGCUUGAUGAGGGUUUAUCAGUCCACCCAAGAAAAUUUGUAGCCGCGAAGCUAGGACCUUCGAAAUUAGUUUGGCCACGCUAUGCACCAGACUUAUAGGGCGGAAGUCGUUAGCGGAUAAAGCUUCUUUCUUCUUUGGAAUAAGGCAUAACCACCCAGUGUUGGCCUUGUCGAGAUUCGUCGUACCAUUGUAGAAGGUAUUGAAGACUCCCAUAAUGUCAUCUUUAAUGAGGUUCCAGAAGCGUUGGUAGAAGACCAUUGGUAAUCCAUCAGGUCCCGGGGCCUUCUCUGGAGCACUAGAGAACACGGUUGUCCUCACUUCGGAUAAAGUGAACAGGGCAUGUAGACUUGAUAGGUCGACAUGUUCGUCUGCAUAUAUCGCUUGCAGAUUAAUGUUGACAGAGGAAACUUGUUGAACUCCCAGUUGGUUGCGGAAGAAAGAAAAGAGGUGUUCAGCAAUCAGCUCGGGCGAGGAGAGUGUGGCUGAUCCGUUUGAACGUCGUGAAAUGAAGUUCUUGUUUCUGUGAGCAUUGGCCUUUAGGUGAAAGAAUUUGGUAUUGGCAUCUCCCACCUUCAGCCAUUGAACUCUUGAACGCUGCUUCCAUUUAAUUUCCUCCUACAGACAAAGGUCUUCGUAACUGGCCUUAAGCUUAGGUCUCAAAGUGUACUCUGGACUCGUUAGUAACCUACGUUCUUUAGCCUUGUCCAGCCAUUCGAUCCAGAAUACACAUCGUUUACCUUGUUCUCUAGAAGCAAAGGAAAUACCUGCGCUCCAUAACCGAAGAGCUGAUUGGACCGAUUCAAUUUUUCGCGAGAAUUGCUUAACGGGAUCGAUGUCAGGCAAGAAUGACUUCCACGCCGUGGAGACCACAUCGAGGACAGCAGGGUAGCGCAACCAGUAACUCUCGAAUUUGAACAGAUUAACAAAAAGGAUGAAGGUAUAAGCUGAGAGUACCAGGAGUGUGUGAUCGGAUCGUGGCCACGGGAGAGCAUGGAGAGUGGAUCGGGGAAAAGCAAGAACCCAGGCAUUGGAGAUGAAAACACGAUCCAGGCGCUCCAGAGUCGGAACAUCCCUACCAUUAGACCUUGUAAAGGAUUUGUUUACGAUGGGGAGGUCGACCAACCCAAUCUCCUGGACGACCUCCCUGAAGUUCAAAAUGUCAUUGAUGUUUGCAGUUGGUCUGUUCUUGUCCUGAACUGAGAGGAGGACGUUAAAGUCACCGAGCAUCACCCACGCUCCUGUGGAUGACGCACUGAUGGAAUGUAGCUCGAUGAAGAAAUUUAUUUUCAGAUUAGCCGCCAUAGGUCCAUAAACAUUCGAAAUUGUGAACAAUUUCCCAUCUACUUUCCUCUUUAACAGUACGGUGAGUGAAAAUCUGCCCGUCCACUCGUGUACGCAGUCAAAGAGAGUCGGAUUCCACGUUGUUAAGAGGCUGCCUCUAGUCCCUUCAGCAUUUAGAGAUCGAAAGUCUUGCAGAUGAAACCCCCCAAAUGAGCGAAACUUGGCAGGAGAGAUAGAGGAAAGUUUAGUUUCUUGGAAGCAUACCACACAUGCAAUGUUGAAUAAAGGAUUUGACGACAGCACAUUUAGAAUUGUCAUUGAGGCUCCGUACAUUCCACAUUAGAAAGCGAAAGAUUCUAUUCCUGGCCAUAGGUAAAGAAGAUCACCCCAGAAAUUAAGCACAGGAACGCUACACCCCUGUCAUAGGAGCCACAGGUAUCCGGCAGGUAGGCACGAUACCAGUAGCUUUGUCGGAAAUACCACAGACCGUCUUGAUUAGUUGAAUCACAUCCAGAGUAAGGGGGAGUUCGGGAUCACUAUCCAGAGAGGCUGCAGACUUUAGUCUGGCCUGAUCGGUCAUCAGCAAUGGCUCCACAUCCUUCCCUGUGGAUGGUUGGUAAGGUUCCAGACUCAGCCCAGAGUCAGGACGAUAGACCUGAGGUAGGGAAGGAUGCUCCGUUGGCGAGUCUGCUUCAGGGGGGGUGGCGUAAGUAGAAGGGCCGGCAAGCUUCGAAGCGGGAUUCAUCAGUUUUAUCUUCUUGCACUUAAGUUCCUGGGCUUUCUGUAAAGAAGACUUCUUGCUUUCUCUAAUUUUCACCGCUAGUCUCAGACUUCGCCUAGAGAAGAGGAGUUUUCCAGAAAUGCAGGUCAGAGUCGAGGGUUUGCUAAGCGGACGGAGGCGAGGUUCCACUUCCAUGGGUGUCUCAGCAAGGCAAGGCAACUGCGCCGUGGGCGUCUCAGAAGAGGUGAGUGAGACAAGAAGGUCAGAUGGGUUCCGGCCUAGUGGAGGCCCGUCUGUGGCCGUGGAGCAGAAAUGAUGGUUGUUGGGCUUCGGGUCCACAGGUAAAAGCAAGUUCCAAGAUGGCCUCGGUGGGCUCUGUCAAAAGACUAGGGUGGGAGAUGGGUGGGAUUGCAGUUGGGGUUGGUCAGUCCACAUCUGCAUCCAAUCGAUCCCCUUCCAGAAGAACCGGAUUCAAAUUGGUAGGCGAAAAAGUUGGGGUGAGCCCGCCAAUAGCAUGAGACAAGUCCUUCCUUUGACCUGCCAACGAAUUAAGUGGCGGGUCACGGGAGUCCUCAGACCCACUGACAUGGGCAGGUCUGCUCUUGCCAGUGUGGUUGUACGGGUGAGGCAGCGACUUGUCCACAGGAUUUGAAUUUGAAUUCAAUCCACCGACCGGCCUCCAGAUCGGCCUGUGGCGUACGACAUCCGUCGGUCGAAAAGUUUGGUUGGGCGCCCUCCGUUGUCCACCAUAGGGAGGUCCCUGCCGGGAGGCGGGUGGGAAACCUUGAUUACGGUAGGCUGGGACCGAGCGAAACCCAGUCUGUCGGAUGAACCCCUCUUGCGCUUCUAAGGAGUCGAGCCCCAGGUGAUGGUCGAGAUCCUCCCCAAGAAGAAUGGGACGAGCCUCCUCGAAAGAUUCGAUUUCAAUGGGGACAUAGAAGUAUCUGUCUUCUACCAUGAGUUCAAGCAACUCAGGAAUGGAGUUAACAUGUUGACAUCGAACCAGCAUGCGGAAGAAGAAGACGUUGGAGCAUUGUUCACUGUGGAUAUCGACGUCCCAAAGCUCCCUUAAGCUGUUAACAGCCGCUUUGACAUUUGCAUUAUUCCAGCUGAGGAUGGGCCAGUUGUGCAAUCUAAUCUAGACCUUGUGGUGGAGAAAGCCCCUGUCUGUCUCCAACUUCCACCCAGUUGGAGAAAUGGAAAAUGAAAUCAUCAAAUCUGACAGGACUCCUGCCGAUGGCCGAUUCCCUCACUGCCUAGCUGGGGAAGAAGACCGCCCUUGCCGUAGGAAGGAAAUAAGCUACCUUGAAAGCCGAGCCGGAUCCCUCAAACCUGGCCACCAGUCCGCGAGCAAGGAUUUCAUCAAAGUCUUCAGGGUGCGGGCUCAGGAUAUCGACCCGAGCUACAAUACCCGAAAGAGGCGGUUGCCUUGCAGCGAAGGGGGGCAGGGGAGAAAAAUAGUAGCAGCGGAAGGCCUAGAGCUGGAUGGGCCCGGCUCCAUGGGUUGGUGACGGGAAGCUGUUGUCGAAGAGCAGCGAGGGUUGGCCAUGUUGCGACGAUGCAGAGAGGACCACGUGCUAGUUGCACCCCGGGCCACUGCCGGUGCAGGUCUGGAGACACCCGAAUUCCACGCAGGAUGAAGAGGAGUGUGGCGUCUUUUGCAGAGCGAAGCUGAGUGGCCAAAUCUCAUACAGAGGAGACAACGCUGCGGUUCCCUGCAACAGGCGGCGAGGUGACCCCUCUCGAAGCACCGGAAGCAGCGACCUCUAAGAGAAGGGUUAAGAAGAGAUAAGGGAGGGAGUGGUGGUAAGAGGUGGGUAGCAGACAGAGUUUUGUGCCAGGGUGAGAGUAAAGAAGGUGGGGUAGCAGCAGAAGGGGACAAAAUGGCAUCUUUAUAAGAAAAGUUGGGCCGGACACGUGCUUGGCCCACAGCCAUAGGCGGAGGAGGUGGGACACGGGGUGGUGGGGGCUGCUAUCAGCGGGAGGUGCAGCAAAAGGCGAGGUCAAAAGGCUUGCAGUAGAGGAGUUGGGGGGCAGAAGGACGGUAAGUAUGUCGAUAUAGGCCACUGCGGUGGGAGGGUGCUUUGGGCGAGGGGCUGAGAGGGAGCGGUGGGAGGAGCUGGGAGGGUGCUUUGGGCGAGGGGGGCGGAGCGGUAGGUUGUGGCGAGAGAAACGGGAUGGGAGGGUAGAACGGGGGAGCGGGGCGAGCGGUAGGGACGAGCCAUUCUGUGCAAAGCUCUAAUCUGUCUAGAUAAUUAGUCGCAUAUUCACAAGCCUACAUUUGUCAUAGUAAAGGAAAAAAGAAAGAAUACCUCAGAUUCCAAAUAAAUUAGGUUUGUUCCACUAAUGACUUGUAGCUAGGCAGAGUCAAUUUGACAAAUAAGCUUUAGGAGGAGGUUAUUUUCGGCCCACCUUAGGUAAUUACCUAAUGAUCCUUUCUUUACUAACUAUAAAAAGGAAAAUUGACUGCUAAAACAUUUCUCCUAAAGGCUAAAUUGCUUUUUUGGUCCUCAAAACCAUGAGGCAUGUGACAUUUUGGUCAUCGAAUUUUAAUUUAUUAUAAUUUCUUAAUCAAUCUUUCUAAACUUGAAGUCAAGUCCCACAAUAUAAUUUAAUUGACUAAAUAGUGAUGUGUUGCUUGUAUGAUAAUAAUGUAACUUCUUAGUCAUUUUCAUGCCAUCAACCAUAAUACUGCUAAAUUGCUAUCACAUUAGUGAAUACUCACCAUUUAGUCAUCUAAAUUGCACUGUGGGAUUUAAUUGUAAAAAUUUUAAAAAUUCGAGCCAGAAUUUGUAAUAAAUUAAAGUUUGAGACCAGAAUAUCAUGCGGCUCAUAGUUUACUGAGAUUAAAAAUUUUCCAAUAGAUAUUCUGUCAGCUAAUCAAUAAAAUUUCAGAUGAAAGUGAAAGAAAGAUUCUAAUCUAAUCUCAGAGUCAUUAUCAAGUGAGAUUGGACAAGUUUAUCAACAUUGGCAAGUUAGGCAUUGUUUUGACAAAUACUGGUAGAAUUUUUGAAAUGUGGACUACCAAUUAAGAUUUAGAGAGAGAGAGAAAGCAAAUUGGAGAUUACUAACUAUGGUAUUUGUUAAAAUCGGAACUAUUGGUCCAUUCCAUUAAUAGAAGACACAAUUGAAUUGGGAAUUGCACUAAAAUUGACUCUGUUCACUAUUGGUCCAUUCCAUUAAUAGAAGACAGAAUUAUGCCAAUUAAUAAGUGAGAAACCUCAAAAACAAGUAAAAGUUGAAUGGGUGUCAAUAAAUAAAGAAAAGAAAAGAAGACAUACCGUGAUUCAUUUUGUUCUUCCUUCAUUACAAGAGGUAGUAGAUUUAUCAUUCCUACUCUGGCAGAGAAUUUACUCGCUCUUCGAAUCGAAAUCAAACCCAUGUAUUCUCAAGUCAAUUUUUGCAGUUCAUCUUGCAAAGAUAGUUGUGGUUGUUCUUCCUUCAAUGAUAAAUGAAGUCCAUUUGUUUGAUCAAACUACUUUUUUUUGAGAAAAAGAUAGCAUGCUACCCGCUUCAUUCAUUCAGAGAGUGAAUUAAGCUACAUGGGUGAGGCAGCGAGGCCUCAGGGGUGGUGAAAAAAAGAAGAAGACAUUAUUAAUGUUUUUUAUCAUUAUUAAUGUUUGAUCAAACUACUGGUAACUUAAAAACUCAGAUUAUGAAUUGAGGAACAUAACCCUCAAAAAGACAUUAUUAAUGGAUACAUGAAGUGAUGUGGCAAAUUGAUGAAGAUGCCCAACAAAUGUAUUUUUUGGUGGGAAAAUGUUGGCCUAUAAUUAGAAGGUGUUUGUGCAAUGGUUAUUUCGCUCUUUAUAGCUAAAUAGUCUGUAAUGCUUUGCAGUGUGGUUGGUUCAUAUACCGACUUUUGAGGAUUAUACACUCGAAUUUGUUUAUCUUAAGGGUGAUAUAUUAUACAAAAUUUCUUCUUUAUGUUUUGGAAGAGCUCCGAAAUAUAAUUUUAGGUAGUGUUUGGUUCGGGAACAAGGGGGAGAAUAAGCCCUUAUUCCCCCCUUUGUUCCCAAACGCAGCGUUUGGUACCCGAGAACAGUAGUUUCUGGGUUUAUGGAACUAGCCGGUAUAAGGCUGGAACUGUUGUUCCACCUUUUUCCUGAAACAAGCUUGUUCCCGAAUGAGAACAAGAUUAAUUAAAGUCUAAAUUUAAAUUUUAAUGAUAAUAAAUUAUUAAUUAAUCUAAUUAAUAUAUGUAAAUCAUUAUCCAUUGCUUAAAUAAUAAAAUAAAUAAAUAAAUAAAUAAUUAUAAUUAAUUAUUUAUAAUUAGAUAAUAAUAAUUAUUAAUUUAAUAAUUAUUAUUUAUUAAUAAUUAUUAAUUAAAUAAUAAUUAUUAAUAAUUAUUAUUCUUAAGAAAUAGAUAAUCGAUAUUAUUAUUAAUUUAUUAUUUAUAAUUAAUUAUUAAUAAUUAGAUAAUUAUUAUUAAUUAAUUUAUUACUUAUAAAUAAUUAUUAAUAGUUAUUAAUAAUUAAUUAAUUAAGUAAUAAUUAUUAAUAAUUUAUUAAUAAUUAGUUAAUUUAUUACUUAUAAAUAAUUAUAAAUAAUUAAUAAUAAUUAAUUAAUGAUAAUAAUUAAUAAUUAAUAAUUAAUAAUUAUUAUUAUUUAUAAUUAUUUAUUAAUAAUUUAUUUAUUAUUUAUUUUUAAGUAAUAUUUUGAUGUUAAUUAAUUAGAUAAUAUAAUGUUAAUUUCAAAUUAUAACUUUUAUUCCUCUUGUUCCAAUUUAACCAUCCAAACGCUAUUUACCUUAUUCUUAGAAACAACUCAAUUUUCAUCCAAACGUAAAAUUGGUCUAGCUAGUUCCUGCUUAUACCUGAACUUAUAUCUAUUCCUGGAAUAAGCAGUUCUUACUUAUACUUGAACCAAACGCAGCCUUAGAUAUCAAAAUAAAAAGCUAUAUUUUAAAACUUUUACUACAAUAGGAUGCUGAUGGAGUGUUUUAAGAAAAAGUUUUUAGCACUUACACGUGUUCAACUAAUUAACCCUAGUAACUCUUAACCACACUUUUAUAUGAAGAAUUCUACAAACAUAAACAAAAAAGGGAUUAAAAAAAAAAGAUGAAAAACUUCUUGUCCACAUCAAGGGAUUUUCAUGUACAGGUAUUUCUGGUAUAUUUGGGUAGCUAUAGGCCACAAGGUUUGCUUCCUCUUUGGAAAAACUUACAUUUCAUAGUGGCAAUUCACAUGUUAAUUCUCAAAGUGCAUGGAAUUCCAUGGACUUUCUAGCUCCAAACAAAAGGAAUGGAAAAAUUUAAGUGAAUGAACUAGCAGGUGGAGUAAAACUUAUUAAGCUCUCCGAAUCAUCACCUGGCAUUACUAAAUAUACAUAUACCUAACUCAACUUGGCAAAAUGUACUGGACUUGCACUUUUGUAGCUCUCAAUCACUCUAUUUAUGAGAAAGAUGGUUAGCUUAAGAAGGUGAACAAGGAUUGGGAGAUAACCAUUGGGGUGUGAGAUGAAGGGGAUUAAUUCGAACUUGAGCCAAGUUCAUAUGCGAUCGAUUGGAUCGGGAUUUCUCCUCGGAUGCUUUACUAUAUUGUUGUUCUAUUUCACAACGUAUGAUCGAUAUGUGAGUCUAGGUGCUGGUAAGUGUUCAUCACUCAGUUUGUAUUCUGAUUAAUUGAAGCCUAGUAAGAGGUAUGACACGAGCUACGAGUCUUUUAUUCUUUUGAGGUGAUUAUUAUGUUGAGUUUUCUCGAGUAUAAGCAACUGAAAUACCGUUCUCUAGCUGCUUGAGUUGCUGGAGAAACAACAGCCUUUUCACAUAAAGAGGAGGCUCUGAGAUUGUAUUUUGCGAGACUCUCCUACCCCGAUUUAAUUAAUUUCUCUUAUAUGAUAUUGUGAUUCAAGUGUUGGCCUUAUGGUCAAAAUCCGCCCACAUAUAAGAGAGAGUGUUGAUUAUAAAAGAUAAGAAGCACCGUUCUCUAGCAGCUCAAGUUGUUAGAGAACAAAUUCUGUUGAAUAUUUUGUUUUAGUUAAGCGACUAAUCAUGUAAUUGGCUUGCAGUUGAUUUUGAAGGACCAUCAAUUCACGCGAGUUCUAAUCCUUCGGAAGAGAAGAUAAACUCCGAAAAAUUAGGUAAGCCUGAGUUUUCAGUUUUUUUUUUUUUUUUGAGAAAAAGGUAACACGCUACCCGUUUCAUUCAUUCAGAAUAUGAACUUAGCUACAUGGGUGAGGCAACAAGGCCUCUAAAGAGAUGAAAAGCCGGACAAAGAUGAAAAAAAAAAAAAAAAAUCAGUGUCUUAUACUAUUUCAAGCUUUAGAUACCACUAGAAUAGUACUAGGUCUGUGAUGAAUUGAGAAGUACACUAUUUAAUAAAAAAUGUGCAUGCAAGUGCGUGCAGGGCAAGGCUUGACAAAUGCAGUUGGAGUAGAGCUUUUCGCGAAUCUUUAAUUAAAGCUUGACAAAUGCAGUUAGAGUAGAGCUUUUCGAGAAUCUUUAAUUAAAGUUUCCACUAGUUGGAGACACAGGCGAAAGUUUCAAAUUAGAGUUUCAUCUUUCGAGUUUGGUCGAUAUUUCGGUUUCCUGCUUUAGCCAGAAGCUCUAGAUACUUGCCUUCGAACUUUUGACUUCUGCUUCUCGAUUAGUAUUGGGAAGCUAGACCAAAUAGGCACAAACCAAUGAAAAGAUGCAGUGAUGAGAUUUUUCAGAUUCACGUUAUAUGUUAUCCUCUUUCUCGUCUAUCAUGCUGAGAGUCUGAAUAAGUUGAAGCGUCACUUGAGCGUCAGAAUAAAGAGGAUGGAUCGAAGAAAAUUCAUCAGUAUCUAGCCAACCUACUGUUUGUGUUUUUUUUCAGUACUUUGACCAAUAUAUAUAUANAUAUAUAUAUAUAUAUCUAAUAUAUGUGUAUAUGGGAUCAUGUUGUAGGAGGUGAACAGGUUGAAAAUGUGAAGCCUCAGAAGAAACUAAUCUGCAACUUCGCAGAUCGAAGAUCUGAUGUGUGUGAAAUGGACGGCGAUGUUCGUAUUCAUGGCAAUUUUUCUUCUAUAUACUUUAUUAAUUCCAUCGAGAGCGACACUUCAGUAACAAAUGAGACUUGGCAAGUCAAGCCUUAUACUCGAAAACACGACCGCAACUUAAUGGAAAGAAUUCGAGAACUUACCAUCGCAUCUUCGCAUAGUCCUUUUGAUGCCCCUACAUGCACUGUAAAUCAUAGCAUCCCCGCCGUUGUAUUCGCGACAGAAGGAAUAACCGGAAACUUCUACCAUGCCUUCACUGAUUUAUUGAUUCCUCUCUUCAUAACUUCUCGACAGUUCGACGGUGAAGUUCAAUUCCUUAUAUCACAAAUGCUUAUCCGGUGGGUUCACAAAUACGAAAGGAUUCUUAAGAAGCUCUCGAACUACGAAGUUAUCGAUCUCGACAAAGAAGUUAAAGUUCAUUGUUAUCCUCAUGCAAUUGUAGGCCUACACAGCCACAAGCCUCUAAGCAUCGAGCCCUCGCGAGCUCCGAAUAACUAUUCCAUGGUCGACUUCGCAAAGUUCAUGCGGACGGCCUACGCUCUAGAUCGAGAUUCAUCGAUAAGUCUGCGCGAAAACCCUAGAACCAACAAGCCAAGGCUUUUGAUCAUAGCAAGGAAUCGCACUCGACAGCUAGUAAAUAUUGACGAAGUUGCUCGAAUGGCGGACGGGCUAGGGUUCGAAGUUGUCCUCGAGGAGGGCUCGUCCUUGAGAACGGUGGGGCAGUUUGCGCAGAUCGUGAACUCGUGUGAUGUGAUGAUGGGUGUUCAUGGCGCGGGCCUCACCAACUCUAUCUUCCUUCCUACUAAUGGAGUGCUCAUACAAGUAGUCCCCUUUGGUAUGCUUGAGGCCGCGAGUAUGGUGGACUUUGGGAUACCUGCAGGGGACAUGAAGUUAAAAUACUUGCAAUAUAGCAUAAGUGAAGAGGAGAGCACUCUCAUAGAGCUUUAUCCAAGGGACCACCCUGUGCUUAGAGACCCCAAGUCAUUGCACAAGCAAGGAUGGUCAGUCUUGAGCAAAAUAUACUUGCGUCAGCAAAAUGUGAGGCUUAAUGUCACAAGGUUUAGGCCUGUUUUAGUGGAAGCAAUGGGGCUUCUUAAUUAGUCAAUAGCAAUAAUGCUAUGGUUUGAUGUGUUUAUGGGGUGUGUGCAAGCAAUUUGAUUUAGACAAAGGAGUUUUCUUGGUUUAAUGUGUGAUUUUUAUCAGGUUAUAAAGAUUAAAAAUUAAUAAUUACAUCACUUCUGUAUUAUUCUUUCUUUUUUAAAACAAAUAAAAGCUCAACUCUCUCUCUCUCUCUCUCCUCUAGAGCACAAACUUGUAAAUUUCAUGUAAUACUCCAAGUGAAACAUGAAAACAUGAUGAAGUUGGGAAAGCAUUGAAUCAUGUAAACCUAACAGGGGUUCGAAUUCAAGGAACUACAUAGAAUUUGUGAAGGCCUUAAUGAUUCAUUGCUUUUGUGAGACCUUACUUUUCAGAGGGUCACCCAUCUAAAGACUACUUUAGUCCUAACACGCUUAAUUCUUUUAAUCUUUUGGGCCUAGUACAAUGCAAAAUGCUAUAGCUAGGUUAAGAGGUUUAGUCUUAUAUAUUAUAUAUCAUAUAUAGGACUAUUCCAAAUUUUAGGGUCAUAUUCCUUUCCUCUUUAUGCCUUGAUGUUCUUGUCAGGCUCAAUCAUACUCACAAGGACCAUAAUAUGUAAGACUCAUCUUGCUAGUUUUAGCCGACCUUGUGGGGAGCCGAACUCCAUCCACAAUGGUCGUCAACGGGGGUCCUCGUGCUCUGCCUGUUGUAUAACUCUGGAUCAAUCGAGACGUAUCUCACACUUCCGGCUUAGCCGACUUUGUGGAGGAGCCGCACUCCAUUCACAACGAUCAUCAGCGGGGGAGCAGUGCUCUACCUGCGGUAUGAUCCUGGCUCAACCGAGAUUUAUCUUAUACUUUUGGCUUAGCCGACCUUGUAAGAAUGCGCACUUCAUCCACAACAGUAGUCAGCAGGGGAGCCGUGCUCUGCCCACUGUAUGACCCUAGUUCAACCAAGACUCAUCUCAUACUUUCGGUUGCUGAUUGGCUCUAAUACCAAAUGUAACGACUCAAUCCACUAACAAUAAUAACUCAUUGAGCCCAAACCAUCGGCCCAAAAUAUUUAAACUCAGUUAUUAUAAUUAGAGUUCCUUGUCUCUUAUACUCUCAAACACAAUCGUAUCUCCAUUCGAUGUGGGACUAUUGGAGAGCCACAGACUCCCCCUAGUUUAGACUCUGACGUUUUCGUCAGUCUAAUCACACACAUAUCCCAAGAUCACUAUGGAAAAAUCAAAUUCGUUGUUGUUUUAAUGAACGAAGGCCUCAUUCAGGUCUAGCAUAUGUAUUUUUAAGACUAUUUCUACACCUGUUUCUUAUCGGAUCUAUCUUGUAGGAAUCAUGAAUAUUCCAUGCCAGUCCUAAAAUCUUUCAGUUGCAACCACAUCAGUUAUUUAUGGACUAAACCCUAAUACUUUACCUCUUUGAUUACGUCUCUUGUCAGUGAGUUGAGGCCUUUAUUGGGCAUUGUAAUAGCCCAAUCCACUAUUGAGUUGAGACCUUUGUUGGGCAUACUUUACCUAAUUUCAUUACUUCUCUUGUCAGUGAGUUGAGACCCUUAUUGAGCAUUGUAAUAACCCGACCCGCUAUUGAGUUGAGACCUUUGUUGGGCAUUUUAAAGACCCGAUCUGAUGGUAAUAAUAACUUGUUGGAACCAGGCCAAAAUACUUAAGCCCAUUUAUUAUUACUAGAUUAUAUUCAGUCUGGUUAUCUUGACAUCAGCCCAUCACACAAAUAGCCCAAACGAGGCAUGAGAUAUCUCUGAUACUAAAUGUAACGACUCGACCCACCAACACUAAUAAUUCGUUGGGUCCAAACUAUUGACCUAAAAUACUUAAACCCGACUGGGGUUUAUGGUCCUUUAUAUUUUCAAACACAAUCCCUUUUCUAUCUGAUUCGGGACUAGCUAUUAGGGUGUCGUGGGCAUGCUUCUUAUUAGAUCGAUCUUUUGGUUACCGGAAAUCACCUGUCUCACUCCAUAUCUUGCCAACUCGACUUUUGAAAAUUGACGUAAAAUGGGACCCGAAUCGUCAAAUAAAAAGGCCUGGUCCAUACACACAUCUACAUGUUAGCAUGCUUACAUCUUCUCAUCACUUGGCUCGAGAUCGAGCUCCAUGUAGACUUGGUUUACUCACAUGUUACAUAGCAAGAUGUGUUUGAGUGUUCUAAUAUUUGGCUUGCCCUGGUGCAUUUGAAAAUGAUCCUCUCCUAAAUUUUGUUUACGAAUCUAACUAAUCAUGUUUAAAUAUCAUUCGAGGAACUAUUCUUUUUCUGAAGUAUCGUUGUCACAUCAGCAAACACAUAUUUAUAGCGAGGAUUCGUCAUGUUUAGCAUGUGUGAAUUAGUCACAUAUUCACAAGCCUACAUUUGUCACGGUAAAGGAAAAAAGAAAGAAUACCUCAGAUUCUAAAUAAAUUAGGCUUUGUUCCACUAAUGACUUGUAGCUAGCUAGGCAGAGUCAAUUUGACAAAUAAGCUUUAGGAGGAGGUUAUUUUCAGACACCUUAGUCACCUAAUGAUUCUUUCUUUAUUAACUAUAAAAAAAGGAAAAUUGGCUACUGAAACAUUUCUCCUAAAGGCUAAAUUGAUUUUUUGGUCCUUAAACCAUGAGGGGUGUGACAUUUUGGUCAUUGAAUUUUAAUUUAUUAUAAUUUCUAAAUCAAUCUUUCUAAAAUUGAAAUCAAAUCUCAUAAUAUAAUUUAAUUGACUAAACAGUGUAUAUGCGUUGUUGGUACGGUGAUAAUGUGACAUCUUAGUCAUUUUCACGCCUUCAACCAUAAUACUGCUAUAUCACUGUCACAUUAGUGAAUACUCAGCAUUUAGUCAUCUAAAUUGCACUGUGGGAACCGACCGUCCCGAGAGCUAGUGGCAAAGGGUUUGAUGGUUGGUAUCCGAGACCCAAGUUCGAAUCCUAGUUGAUUCACAUUUCUAGCUAAGUUUUUUUUUUUAAUGAAAUAAACGAAGCGGGUAACGUGCUACCUAUCUCAACAAAAAAAAAAAAAAAUUGCACUGUGAGGCUUGAUUGUAAAAAAAUUUAAAAACUUUGAGCCAGAAUUUGUAAUAAAUUAAAGUCGGAGACCAAAAUAUGAUGCGGCUCAUAGUUUAAGGACCAACCAUGCAAUUUAGCCAUUCCUAAAUUUGUCCUCUAAUUAAUAAAUGAGACCUAGAUCUGGGGCUCAAUUUAAGCAGCUGUUUAAAGCUCAAGCAUUGUUUACUGAGAUUAAAAAUUUUCCAAUAGAUAUUCUGUCAGCUAAUCAAUAAAAUUUCAGAUGAAAGUGAAAGCAAGAUUCUAAUCUCAGAGUCAUUAACCAAGUGAGAUUAAGAAGUUUAUCAACAUUGGCAAGUUAGGCAUUGUUUUGACAACUACUGGUAGAAUUUUUGAACUGUAGACUACCAAUCAAGAUUUAGAGAGAGAGAGAGAGAGAGAGAGAGAGAGAGAGAAAGCAAAUUGGAGAUUACUAACUCUGGUAUUCUCUUGAUAAAGUUUUGUCUGUGUUACGACGAGCGCACGAACAGAAACGAAAAAUGACGAACGUGAAGUAGACAAAGCACAAACAGAAAAUAAAAUAAAUACACAGAUUUACGUGAAAAAUUUUCUACAAGAAAAAAAUUGCUGGCGAGGGAGGAUAGAAUUCACUUGCAAAAAAGGGAAUACAAUCAAUGUUCAGAAGAUUACAAUACGUUUCAUCACGCUUAGGGCAAAAGAGGAGAAGAAAAUUUUUUAACGGGUUCUUCUUGAGGGGUCAGAUCCCGAGCCCUCCACUAUCCGCCAUGGACAUCUAUUUUUCCUUCACAAGUUAUUUUCCCAAAAAAAUCUGUUGCACCGCUAAACUGUGGCCAAAUCUGGGGGCCCAAAAUCAAAGUCGAUAACUAAAUUUCGAGGCAUCUUUAACAGUGUAAGUAGUGUUAUUAGAAGAAGCAUUAUACAGAUUUACCUCCAACAACUUUUUCCUACAACAAAAUCACGGGUCCAUGGAGAAUGCUGCCACUACAACAAAAACGGUCUAUAGCGACACUUUUAAAUGUAGGUACAUGUCAAAAAAGUGCUGCUAGCUAAAAUUACCGACACUUUUAAAAAGCGUUGCUAUAUGUGGGGUCGCUAGGCAUAUAGUGACAGUUAAAGAGUGUCGUUAUAACCUAAAAGAGUGCUGCUAAUUUUUCAACACUUGUUUAAGCAUUUAGCAACCACCGAAACUCUAUCUCGUUGGCUGCGGUGGCGGAUGAGGAUGACAGUAAAGGCUCUUCGUCUAGAAUUUCAGUGGAUUGAGUGAAGAGAGAAGAAAAGAUGGUAAUUGAUUUUUCUUUUUUUUUUUUCUUUUCUGUUUGUAAUCGGGCCAUAUGGACUGGGUGUGGUGGGUUGAGUAGAGUAAUCUUUUAUUUUUGGUUCGAUUGGGCUUUAUAUUUAGGCAUUAGUAGAUGUGUUUUUAAGUUUUAGCAUAAAUGGGACACUUACUUAAAAGUGUCCCAAACAUGUGUCUCUAUAACUUAAUUCUGUUGUAGUGUGCUGUUGAAAUUAGAAGUAGAAGCUGAAGUUGCCAAACAACUAAACAAGCCAAUCAGAAAAUGUACUUCUCAAGUUGACCUACACAAGUUUUCUGCCAAACAAGCCAUCAUGAAUUGCUCUUCUCAAAUUGACCUGAAUCAUUUUUCUUUGAUUGUACUGCCUACCAUCCAUGAAUGUGACAUCCAACCACUUCACCACUGCAUGCCAUUUUAACAUCCCAUGUGUUUUAAACUUCCCAAAAUUGCAAGUUGUACUAAUGAUGCCAACAGGUCAGAUUUUUAAAAAUUCGAACCUGAAUGCGAAUCCGACUAUUAAACCUGAAAUCUAAACCCGAACCCGAAUGCGAUGGAGGAUUUUAAAAGUCCAUAUCCAAAUCCGAACUCGACCAAAAAUCCGAAACCCAAAUACAAACCUGAAAAUCCGAAUCCGAAGCAAUUAUUUCUCUUUACCAUAAUUCAAAAUACAUUACAUUAAAUACAAAUUCAAGUAUAACAUCAAAUAUAUAUAUUAUGUAAAAUCAAUUCGCGUUCGGGUUCGAGUUGGGUACAGAUAAAAUCCACAUCCGAAUCCAAAUUUGUCGAAUUUUAUUUUUUUUAUAUCCGUAUUCGAAACUAUAUUCGUUUAGUAUCAAAUAAAUCAGUUCCGUUCAUGAUAAAAUUUCGAAUAUCCACCAACAAAUACUCUCUCUCUACAAUCACUUCCUACAACUUGCUGCUCCCAAAUUAAAAGCAAUGUGUCCCCCCAGUCCCAUCCCUUGAAUUAAAGCUUUGAAUCACAACAAAAUAUUGUAGGCCCCCAAGCAUAUACAAUGGACUAACUACAAAGAGUGAAUCAAGCAAAUCUAUUUACCACAAUAAUUAAAUGAGAGAACCUUUUGUGAGCUUCACUCCAUUAAGUAUAUUCCCCUCCAAAACUUUUUCAUAAGAUCGAAGAGAGGCAUACACAACAUUCUCAUGAAAAUGGGGCAUGACAUGAAGCAUGUGAGGAGCUGCUGCUGCCGGAUCGAGCUGCAGAAGUUCGGUUUCGGGCUUGUCGCGGGGUGUCUUCUAGUCUCAUUGGCAUAUGUUUCGGAGUUCAACUUCGACGCAGUUUCAUUGUGUAAGUUCAUCAUUUUGUUGCAGUUUCUUGCCCUUCAUUACUCAGUUUUGUCCACCUUAAUAGCUCUGUUCUUAUACUUGUUACUGUAUAUUUUGCAGUGAAUUCAACAUCAUCAUCUUCACUUAGUGUAGCUCCUUCGAGCCAUCGGGUCGAAGAUAUUGUUACUUCUCAACAAGUAGGUAAGAGAAUAAGAUCUUCGAGAAAGAAAGGAGAUUGUAAAAUAAGCUACAAAUAAUGCAGAUCAGGCUCAUCUCUACAAUGUUUUUUGGUUCAUUAUUUAGUUUUCAUGUAUCAGUGAAGAUUACUUAGAUAGUAUCAAACAGUUAGGUGGUCUUUCGCAAUUUUAAACCACUUUUUAAAUUCAAAUCAGCAUCACAGUGCAGAAUAUGGAUUUAUUGGUGAAAUUUUAAGAUCAUUUCUUUGUCCACUAUACAGUAAGAAAGGAUGAAAAGCAAGAAAUUAGCCUGCAAUGUAAACUUUGUGAGAUAGAAAAUGCUGCUGCUGCUGCUGCAAACAAUGGUUCCUACGCAAUUGAUUCGCUUUGGAAAACAACUACUACAUUUGAAGCAAAGCCAACAACAGGUAUACUAGUUCAGUUUCUAAACCUUUAAUAGUGAUUGGUAAAUCUGAGCUAUCAUGAAUCAGAGUGUUGCUUUCAAAAGAGUAAUUGAUAACUCAUGUUCAAUUCUUUUAUUUUGUUUGAAGAUGAAAGAAGCGAGGAUUCAACUCUCGAGAAGAAGCCGAUGAUGUGCGAUUUUUCGAACAGUAGAACAGAUAUAUGCGAGAUCGAAGGCGAUGUAAGAAUCUCGGGGAAAAAUUCAUCCAUUUUCUCAGUUAGUUCACCGGAAACCGACGGUCCGUAUGAAAACGAAACAUGGCGGAUCAAACCGUAUCCGCGCAAGGCGGAUAAACAAGCAAUGAGUAAUGUGAAGGAAUUGACAUUGAAAUCAUUGAGCUCUUUCAAAGAGGCUCCACAAUGCACUGAUCGUUAUGACGUGCCCGCCGUAGUUUUCUCGGUUCACGGUUUCACCGGAAAUUACUUCCAUGCAUUCACCGACGUGUUCGUCCCUCUCUUCGAAACUGCUCAUGGAUUCAACGGGGAGGUCCGGUUCGUUAUCACGGAUUUUAGAGCUCGGUGGAUUCACAGGUUCCUUCCGAUAUUCAAAAGCCUCUCGCGGUACGAUAUGAUCGACCUCGAUAACAACGACGGAGUUCUUUGCUUUCCGCGUGCCAUCGUAGGCUUGAAAAGCCACAACGAGUUGAGCAUCGACGCUUCUCCGUCGCCCAAGGGCUAUUCAAUGGUCGACUUUCUGAGAUUCAUGAGGGGCGCGUAUUCGCUCAAGAGAGAUUCGGUGGCGGCGGUCGGAAUAAGAAGGCCGAGGUUACUGAUCAUCUCGAGGGAGAGAACAAGAAAACUCGUGAAUGUGAAGGAUGUAAUUCGCUUGGCGGAGAAACUGGGCUACCAAGUGGUGGUGCCAAGGGCUCAAAAGGAUCUGGCUCAGUUCUCACGAGUCGUGAACUCGUGCGACGUGAUGAUGGGUGUUCACGGCGCGGGCCUGACGAACAUCGUCUUCCUCCCGACGAACGCGGUUUUGAUCCAGAUAGUCCCUUGGGGGGGACUGGAUUGGGUUGUGAGGACGUGCUUCGGCGAACCAUCAAAGGAAAUGAAGUUGCAGUACCUGGAGUAUAGCAUUAGUGAAGAGGAGAGCACUCUAAUAGAACAGUACCCUCGAGAUCACGCCGUGUUUACGGACCCCGCGUCGAUUCGCAAAAGAGGUUGGGUUCCUAUGAAGGAAGUGUUUUUGGACAAGCAAGAUGUGAAUUUGAAUCUGAGCAGGUUUAAGCCUGUUUUAGAGAAAGCUCUUGAGCUUCUCCAUACAUAGUAUAUAGAUUAUCAUCUUCAUUUAGGUUUGUUUUUUUGUUUAUAAUUCAACGAAAUUUUUUUAUCUGUUUCGAGUGUUCAUCCAUUUGUUUCCUGUAAGGUGGGGGAAAAUGUUUGCGUAAUGUAGAACUUUAAGAACAAAAUUUCUUGAUGAUUACGUGCAUUAAUUACUUACAUAAUAUACACAAAUCAUUUACUUCUACACCUUUUUUCUUUUCCGGACAUACUCAUCAAUUUCUGUACUAAUUGUAUUAAUGAUAUGUACUGAUGGCUUUAAAAGUGGGGAAAACUUCAAAUGUCACUCGGGUGGUUUCACACUUUUUUACUUUAAUAUUCUGUGGUUUAAAAUGUAUCAAUAUAGUGCCACGUGAUUUUAUUUUUAUUUUUUUAUUAUCGAUUUCACUAAUUUUUUUUCGUUAAAUCGGUGAUAAAGUUAAAACAAAAGGGUACUAAAGUGAAUAUUCGAUAAACCUAUGUGGGAUAUCUGAAAUUUUUUGUAUAUAAUUUAACAAAAUAUUAACGAAAAAAGUGGCGAAAAGAUAAAAAUGAAACCACAUAACACUAACUUGGUAUACUUUAAACCACAUAGUACUAAUUUAAACCACAUAGUACUAAAAUAAGAAGGUGCGAAACCACAGGAAUGGCAUUUAAAGUUUAUCAUUAAAAGUAAAAGAUAGUUAUUUUAUUUUAGGAUUAAUUUCAUACAGAUCCCUACAAACAUAACGAAUAUCAAAUAUAUCCUUAUAAAGUUCAACAUUCAUAUGUUGUUUCUACAAAAGUUCUAAUAUUUUCAAAUAUAUCCCUCUGAUUUGUUAUUGUUAAAACAUUGUUUAUUUUAUACGUGAAAUGAUCUUUUUGCCGUCACAAAUAUAUCCCUUUUAAUUAAAGAGGGGUAAAAAAUCAACUCAUUUCAUUAUCUAAUUAGGGUUAAGUAUUUUAUCUCUAUUAACUAAUUUUUUCUAAUGAAUUCUAACGACAUGAAUAUAUUUGAAAAUAUCAUGGCUUUUACAUAUAUGGACGACAAUUCACAAAAAUUUAUCACCAAAUUAUGAUAAUAUAUAAUUGUGCCGAAGUAAUGUUAGCUGUCUUCAUCAUGCAAUUUGAGUCCCACAUUGGAAAGUGACUCUUUUUUUCUUUUUUUCUUUAUUUUUCGAGAAAAAAGUAGCAUACUAUCCUAUUCAUUCAUUUUGGAGGUAAGCUUAGCUACAUGAGUAAGGCAACAAGGCCUCUAGGGCGGCGAAAAGAGCGUUGGUGGGUUGGAAAAAAAAAAAAAAAAAAAAAAAAAAACAUUGCUUUUACAAAUUUGGUAGAAAGAGAUUACUUUUACUAAUUUGACAGAAAGAUAUUUUCACUAUUGUGCUACAAUGAAAAUUUUGAACUAGGGUCAGAAACUUUUAUUAAGAUUGUGCGUGGUUCAACCAGAGCAAUAUAUUUAUUAUGCUAAUUUGGUUUUUAAACUUUCAAAAGUAAUUUAAAUUUGCAAAAUAGCGACAAAAAAUGUUGCAUUAGCGCAAAAAAGAUCAAAGAUGAAUAAUAUUAAAGUUUGAUUAGUACCGAAUUUUUUUUUUUGAGAAAUAGAUAGCACGCUAUCCAAUUUGUUUAUUUCAUUUAGAAAUAAAUUUAGUUGGAAAUAUGAAUCAACUAGGAUUCGAACUUGGGUCUCGAAUAUCAGCCACCAAGUUUUUUGCCAGUUGCUCUAGGAACGGUCGGUUCGAUGUUUUUUAAAAUUCGAACCAGAAUAGUUUCAUAUUUUUAGCUAAAUUUAUUUUUGAAAAAAACGAAAGUUGUAUACUAAUUUUCUCUCUUAAGAAAAUAUUAGUAGGAAGUUCAUAAUUUUUUUUAAAAUAAAAAUAUAGUUUGGUAUGUUACAAAGCUUGAGCCCGCCCUUACAAUGAAUGAUGUAAUAGUGAGUGAAGUUGUCCUACUCGUAGGGGCAUAUGUUCAUGGACAAGGACAAAUCAUAGGGGCAUAUGUUAUAGACAAGGACAAAUACUAGUGGUAAAUAGGGAUGUCAACGGGUCGGAUUCAGAACAGAUUUUUAAAAAUCCGAAUUCGACUCCAAACCGAGAUCGGAACUCGAAUCCGAAUCCAAAUCUGACGAAUUUUAAAAAUUCAUAUCUAAAUCCGAACCCGACCAAAAAUUCGAAACCCGAAUCGAAAAAUUUGAACCCGAAAUAAUAAUUUUUUUUUCAAUAUUUCAAAAUAUAUUACAUUAAAUCUAAAUUUCUAAAAUAAAAAUUUAAAUAUAACAUCAAAUUUAUAUAUAUAUAUAUAUAUAAUGCAAAAUAAAUUCUGGUUCGGAUCGGGUUUCGGUCGGGUUCGGAUACAGUCAAAAUCUAUAUUCAAAUCCAUGUCCGUCGGAUUUUUAUUUUUGAUAUCCAUAUCUAAUAUAUAUCCAUUUAGCACCGGAUAUAUCCGCUCCAUUCGGAUUCGGAUUCGAAUUCGAAUAAAAUUUUACGUAUCCGUACCCAUUGACAUCCCUAUUUAUUUUGUUCCGUUGGUGUAGCAUUUUAUUCCGUAUAACACUUAGCUCUCAUACUCUGAAAGGUAUUCGACUCUUAUAACAAUUGUAACGAUUCGACCCGCGAGCAAGGUAUUCGACUUUUAUAACAAUUGUAACGAUUCGACUCGCAAGCAAUAAUAACUUAUUGGGACGUCUGAAAAUAUUUAAGCACGAUUAUUAUUACUAGCGUAGAGGCUUUAUAUAUUUUAAUUAGAAUCAUUUUCCUAUCCGAUGUGGAAUACUUGGGGCGUUACACAUGAAGACCCUGUUAACUAGCUAAAAACCAUUUUAAAAUAAGUCCCUCAACUUUAUUAUUAUUUUUUUUUAAUUCUUGCCGACACUUUUUUAACUUUUAUUGGGUUUUUUUAUUUAAAUUAUUCUUAUUAGUUGAGUUAACAAUUUUGUUAACUGGAAUAAAUUCGUCUACUAUAUUAAUCAAUCAACACAUAAAAAUCCAUCUUUAUUUGGUUUGGGGAUAAGCAAGAACUGUCUAUUCCAGGAAUAGGUACAAAUUUAGGUAUAAACUUGAAAUAGUUCAAUUUUGCGUUUGGAUGAAAAUUGAAUUAUUUCUGCGAAUAAAAAAAAUAUCGUUUGGAUAGAUAAGCUGAAAUAAAAAGGAUAAUAGUAGUUAUAAAUAAAAAAUAAUGAUAUUGUCUUUUAUAUUUGAAUUUAAAUUUUUAAAUUUUAAAUAUAUAACUUUAAAAAUUAAAAAAUUUAAAAUAAAAUUUUAAAUUCUAAAUUUCAAAUUUAAAAAUUUAAAGUUCUAAAUUUAAAAUUUAAAAGUAAAUUUAAAUUUAAAAAUAUCAACUAUCAAAUUUUAAAUUUAAAAAAUUAUAAAUAAUAAUUUAAAAUUUAAAAUUUAGAAUUUAAAAUUAUAAAUGUUAAUUUUAAGAUUACAAAUUAUUAAAUUUUUAAAAUUUAAAAUUUAAAAUUUAAAUUAUAAAUUUAAAUUUAAAAAUUAAAUUUGGAUGAGAUUAGCGAAUCCCACCCCAAUUCCAAAGGGGGAUAAUCCGUUAGAGAUGGGGUUAACAAACCCCACCACUUGAAAAUCUUAUUUGGGGAUUAAGGAGGGGAUAACCUCUUAUUCCCCCUUCGCCAACCAAACACAAACUCAAAUGUUUAGGAAAUGUCAAUUGAAGAAAAGGAAACUCGAGGGGGUUUAUUUCGAAAUGGCUUAUAGUUUUUGGUGGGGAUUAGUUUCUCCACACAAUUUUACCAAAUUAUUUACUAGUAAAAGCUUAAUUGGGCUUGUCAUGUUUCUUUUGCUUGUGGGGACUAUCACUUUGUUUAUCAUGUUUCCUUAAUUUAGCUAAACCUAUGCUUCACUUAUUAUGGGAAAAAGUUCUUGUGAGUUUUUGUGUUUAGACCACUAGAAGCAUAGUGUGGAGUUUCCUUUCUUUUCUUUUUGUUUUUGGUAAAGUGUCGACUGUAACGCUCUAAUAAUUUCACAUCAGAUGAAAAAAUAAUUUUAAUAAGAAUAUAUGAGGACUGCACACUAGUAAUAAUAACUGGGUUUAAACAUUUUGCGCCGGUGGUUUUGGCCCAAUAAGUUAUUCUUGCUAACGGGUCGGAUCGUUACGAUUGGUAUUAGAUCCGAAUACAGUCGAAAGUGUGAGUGCUAAGUGCCAUGCGACGCAAAGUGCUGCACCAACGGAUUAAGUAGGAGUCACUUCUCGAACUCGUAGGAACCACCUUGAAAAUCUUAUAUCACUUGAUAAUUCUAGCCUGCAUCUGGUUUGGAUCUGACGAGAACAUUAGGGUCUAAAUAAGAAGAGUUUGUAACGGCCCAAUGAUCCCACAUCGGGUGGGAAAAUGAUUAUGAUAAGAAUAUAUAAAGCCUAAUAAUAACUUGAUUUAAAUAUUUUGGACCGAUGAUUUAGACUUGCACGGUAGUAGUAAUAACUGGAUUUAAGCAUUUUGGGCCGAUAGUUUGGACCUAACGAGUUAUUGUUGCGAGCGGGUCGAACCUUUAUAUCAUUUUGGGCCGAAUGUUUGAACCUAACGAAUUAUUAUUGCUGGCGGAUCGGACCGUUAUAUCGACAAAGAUGAAAGAAAUGGAUGAUUGCGCUAUGUGAUGAUAGGGAUGAUUGCGCUAGGAAUGACAAUUAAGUAUUCAAAUAGAAAAUCUAACAAUGUGGGCCCUCCUCUUUGUUUGAAAAUUCAGAAGGUUUUUCUUUCUAGUCCUCAAUUUGUACACUCUCUUGUAUUUUCUUAUUACAUUACUAGUUCAUGGUAACAUCCCUAAUUUUUUUUCUUUUUCUUUUUUGACUGGGCUAUUGUCCUAUCGCUGCGAAAAGCAAGCCUUAAUUAGUGGUAAGAUUGGUUGACUGCAGUUGGGGCAUCUUGAUUUCAUGAUUUUAGGAAGAUUUUUCCACAAGUAGGAGAAUUACAUGUUUGGCAAAGCCCUUUACAUUCGCACAUGUCAAUUCGAGUGUUUUGAAAAUCGGAUCGAAUCGUCUGGUCAAACCAGAAAGAUUGUGACCCAAUUUCUAGAUCGGUUUGGUUUGGCUCAUAAACUGAAAAGCUUUAAAACUUAUGCUGAUCCGUUUGAAUUAUUAUAGUUUUAAUGGGCCGGUCUCUGGCCUAUUAUUUAUCAUAAAUUAUCGAUUGAACAGCUCAAUCGGUUCGGUUUAAAUUUCUUUUAAAAAAUUUAAAAGAAACAACUACUUUGUUGUGCUAUCUGGAAGUUUUGUUGGCACCCUUUCAUCGAAGGGACCGGCCCUCGCCUAUUCGGCCAGCCAAUUUAGCUCGCGAAAUCGGUGCGAAUAGUGACACUCACUUCCAUAUUUACGAAUUGUCAUCUUCAGCAAAGUAUAUGACAAUGUAAAAAAGUUUGGUGCUUUUGCUACAGCGGUAAUGAAAAAUGAGAUUCAAGGCUAAAAUGCAGAAGCUAUAGUUUAAUUUUUCUAGUUCUACCGUAGAGAGAAUCCAUUAAAAGAAUUUUAUUACAAUAUUUUUUUUUUGAAAAAACUAUUAAGAGACAUCUAGUACAAAGUUGGGGUCAACUAGCUCGAGCUUGGCUUGUUUAUGGCCCAAAUCGAAGGAGGUCAGGGAUAAGCCAUAGGGAAGAUGGAGUAGAAGGCAUUGAGUACUAUUCAUCUGCUAUUGGCAAAUAAAGCUUCUCUCCAACAAACUCAACGAGAAAACAUCUAUAAAAUUGUCAAGCUGCAGAUCUUUUAGACUGUGACGAUAUGUUGCAAAAAUUAAAAAUUUGGCCCAAUUUCGACUCAAAACCUAUAAAUUUUAUCAGAGUAGAAGUAUCAUCGAUUCAGUAAACUCUAGAAUAGUAUUAGAUAGGAUAACCAUAAACUACUAUGAAACUGAAAAGAUAAGGAAUAACACCACUGGUAUUAUAAACUAAUAAAUGUCUAGACAAUCAAUCCAAAAGCUCCGGCACACAGAUUUGUCGAAGGUAAACGAAGAAAUAUAGUGCAAUCCAAAAUUUUGUGCAUAUAUGAAUACAAAUACAAUCAAAAGGUCUAAGUUCCUCUCAACUGUAAAAUAAGAUAAAUAUAUGCCACAAAAUACAAGGAAUGUAUAAAUGUACAAGCAGUUAGCAAUAAAACAUUAAAAAGUUGUAGUCCCAAGUGUCACUCGCCCUCGCCCUCUCCUCUAUUGGAAGUAGAUCUAGCAAACCGGCAGAUUAGAGAAUCCGUGGGCGAGUCAUUAUUCCUGCAGAUUAUGUAAAUUUUUAGACAGUCAUUAUCCUUUUCCAUACCCGCCCUCGAGUAAGCGAGCAGGUAUAUGGAUUACCCACAUGGUAAUUCUUUCAUAUUUUUCAAAUACAAAUAUAUAUAUAUAUAUAUAUAUAUAUAUAUAUAUAUAUAUAUAUUAUUUUUAAAAUAUUAAAACUUAAUUUAUUCUUUAAAAUAUCACAACAUACAAUAGAUAAUAAUAAAAAAAAAUGACACUAGGAGAAAUUAAUAUUAGGAUUAGGAUUCCUAGUUUGCUAUUUCAUUUUUAUUUUUUUUUAAAUUAGGGUAAACUUCAAAUACCAACCUUAUGGUUUUGCACUUUCCCACUUUAGUAUCAUGUGGUUUAAAAUGUAUCAAGUUAGUACCCUAUAGUUAGGGCUGGCAAAUGAGCGAGCCGGCUCACGUUCGACUCGCGUUCGACUCGAUAUUUGGCUCGCUCGAGCUCGACUCAAAAUUAAAUGAGCCGAUCUUGAACAAAAAAAAAAGGCUCGAAAUUCAUUUCAAGCCGAGCUUGGGUAUUACUCAGCUCGUUCAAAUUAGGAUCGAAAAGCUCGAGAAGCUCGAAUAUAUAUAUAUAUAUAUAUAUAUAUAGUAGAGCUACUAUGCUAUCAAAAGUAUAGAGAUCUUGUGCUUUCGAUUUUUUGAUUCUUAGAUUUAUCCCUUUAAUCGUUUCUUAUCUUUGGAUUAAUAUUAUUAUUACCUUGUAGGGACCACUCAAUCCUAAGAGUAUUAUUUAAUCCUAGGGGAGACCGCAAUCAUUCCAACCAUACAAUUUUUAAUCAAAGGGUCAAAAAUUUAAAAACAUCAAAUCCUUUAUAUUUUCGAUAGCAUAGUAGUUCUACACUAUAUAUAUAUAUAUAAAAUAUAUUUUAAUUAUAUAUAGGCUGAGUGAAUAAUCUGAAUUUAGUUAAAAUUAGACCAAUGUUGUUGGCCCAUAAAAAUAAAUCCAAUAGACAAAUAAAAGAGCAAAAUUUUACAAAAUUUAUAUAUUUUUCCUAUCUUUCUUUCUUUCUUUCUUUCACAGAGCUCUCAGUAUGUUUCUCUUUUUCUCUUUUUCUGUCUCUCACCCUUAGCGGCCAAGCCGGAAGCCCUCUAAGUUACCAAAUAAUAUCAUAUGCCCGCCGUUGCCUACCUUACUAUUAAUUGUAUGCUUGAAAAAAUAUACAGAAUAUUUUUAAAGUAAAAAAUUAUUAUUCAUAUAAAAUUUUAAUUUUAGUUAUAUAUGAUUGGAUAGUUUAAUCCAAUAUUUAUCUAUAUAAUUUAUUUAUUUUUGACUGCAUAAAUGAAAAUGAAUAAUAUAGAGAUUGAAGGCGGAAGAAAAGAUAUGUGAGACUGAAAAAAUUAGAUAUUCAACUCAUAAAUUAUUUUUUUUCAUAUUAUAAUAUUAUAUUUCAUAUAAUUAUUUUGUCACUUGAACUAUUAGAUAUAUUUUUGUAUCAAAUUAUAGAUAAUGUUCUAUACAAAUUAAACUAUUGAUCGUAUAAUAUUGAGAAUUUCAAGCUGCUCGUUUAGGGCUCGAGCUCGUUCGACUUGAAAUUAGGCUCGCUCGAGCUCGGCUCGAAUUAAUUUCAAUCCAAGCUUGAGCUUAAAUUUAGGCUCGAAAUUAAUUUCAAGCCGAAUUUGAGCCGAGGUAAGCUCGCUCGAGCUCGGCUCGUUUCCACCCCUACCUAUAAUUUCAUUUUUCUCUUUUCGUCAGCUCCUACGUUAAUAUUUCGUUAAAUUAUUAUAUACAAAAAACUUCAGAUACCCCACCUAGGCUUAUCAUAUAUUCGCUUUAGUACCCUUUAGUUUUAAAAUUGUUACUAAUUUAAAAAAAAAAUUAGUGAAAUGGAUAAUAAAAGAAAAAAUAAAAUCACGUGGUACUAAAUUGAUACACUUUAAACCACAUGGUACUAAAAUAAGAAAGUGUAAAACCACAUGAGUGGUAUUUAGGGGUGGAAACGAGCCGAGCUCGAGGGAGCUUAUCUCGGCUCAAAUUCGGCUUGAAAUUAAUUUCGAGCCUAAUUUAAGCUUAAGCUUGGAUUGAAAUUAAUUCGAGCCGAGCUCGAGCGAGCAUAAUUUCGAGUCGAGUGAGCUCGAGCCCUAAACGAGCCGCUUGAAAUUCUCAACAUCAUACGAUCAAUAGUUUAAUUUGUAUAGAACAUUAUCUAUAAUUUGAUACAAAAAUAUGUCUAAUAGUUCAAAGUAUAAAAUAAUUAUAUAAAAUAUAGUAUUAUAAUAUGAAAAAAAAAAUUUAUGAGUUGAAUACCUAAUCUUUUCAGCCCCACAUGUCUUUUCUUCCGCCUUCAAUCUCCAUAUUAUUCAUUUUCAUUUAUGUAGUCAAAAAUAAAUAAAUUAUAUAGAUAAAUAUUGGAUUAAACUAUCCAAUCAUAUAUAACUAAAAUUAAAAUUUUAAAUGAAUAAUAAUUUUUUACUUUAAAAAUAUUCUGUAUAUUUCCUCAAGCAUACAAUUAAUAGCAAGACAGGCAACGGCAGGCAUAUGCUGCUACUUGGUAACUUGGAGGGCUUUCGGCUUGGCCAAAUAGGGCGGGAGACAGAAAAAGAAAAAGAGAGAAACAUAUUGAAAAUUUAGAGCUCUGUGAAAGAAAGAAAGAAAGAAAGAAAAAAUGUAAAAAUUUAGUAAAAUUUAGCUCUUUUAUUUGUCUAUUGGGUUUGUUUUUAUGGGCCAACAAUAUUGACCCAAUUUUAACUAAACUCAGAUUAUUCACUCAGCCUAUAUAUAAUUAAGGCCUUUUUGCAUAAAAAAUCCACUUAUUUUGGACUUUUGCAAAAUCGGGCCACCUUUUUCGUUUUUGCAGAUUCGGUCCGCUUUUUCAGCAAACUGACCAAAAUACCCUUAUACAUUUUUCUCUUUCCUCUUUCUCUCUCCUCUUUUUUUUUUCUCGUUUUUUUCUUUCUUUUCCAUGGACGCCGCCCGCGCCGUGCUGGAGCGGAGCGACCCAGAGUGGAGCCCGGCCGACGCCGUCGACGCGUCCGGCGUCGGCCUGCUGCACUCGGCCAUCGCGCAGGGCCGGCCGGACCUCUUCCAGCUGCUGCUGGAGUUCGACGCCGACGUCGACCUCUGAGACCACCCGGGAUUCGCCGUGCUCGAGUCCGAGGAGGUCAAGCGCGUCGGACUCCGAGCCCGACCGCUCGACCCCGACGCCCCGCUCAAGCCGGNNNNNNNNNNNNNNNNNNNNNNNNNUCGGAACUUUAUAUCAUUUGGGCCGAAUGUUUGAACCUAACGAAUUUAUUAUUGUGGCGCGAUCGGCCGUUAUAUCGACAAAGAUGAAAGAAAUGGAUGAUUGCGCUAUGUGAUGAUAGGAAUGAUUGGCGCUUAAGGAUGACAAUUAAUUGAUUCAAUAUAGAAAUCUAACAAAGUGGGCCUCCUCUUUUGUUUGAAAAUUCGAAGGAUAUGUUUCAUCUUCUAGUCUCUCUAAUUUGUACAUCUCUUGUAUUUUUUAUUACAUUACUAGUUCAUGGUAACAUCCGUAAUUUUUUUUUUUUCAUAUUUUUGACUGGGCUAAUUGUCCUAGUUCGCUGCGAAAAGCAAGCCUAAAUUAGGUUGAUAAGAUUGUGUUUGACCUGCAGUUGGGCGGUCAUCUUGAUUAUCAUGAUUUAGAAAGAUUUUCUCACAAGUAGGAGAAUUACAUGUUUUGGCAAAGCCUUACAAUUCCCAAUUGUCAAUUCGCAGUUUUUUGAAAUACGGAAUCGAUACGUUGGUUCAAACCAAAAGAUUGUGACCACUUUCUAGAUCGUUUCGGCUUUGGCUCCAUAAACUGAAAAGCUUUAAACUUAUGCUGAUCGCCGUUGAAUUAUUAUAGUUUCAAUGGGCCGUCUCUGGCUAUUAUUUAUCAUAAAAAUCUAUCGAUUGAACAGCUCAAUUCGGUUCGUUCUAAAUUUCUUUUAAAAAAUUUAAAAGAAACAAUACUUACUGUAUGUUUGCUAUCUGUAAGUUUGUUGGCACCCUUUCAUCGAAGGGACGGGCCCUCGCCUAAUUCGGCAGCCAAUUUAGCGUCUAGCGAAAAUCGGAUGCGAAUAGUGACACUCACGUUCCAUAUUAUACGAAUUGUGCAUUUUCAGGCAAAGUAUAUGACAAUGUAAAAAGUGUGGUCGCUUUUGCUACAUGCGUAAUGAAAGAGAUAUCAAGGCUAAAAAUGCAGAACGAACUAUAGUUUAAUUUUUCUAGUUCUACGUACGAGAGAAUUCCAUUAAAAAGAAUUUUAUUACAAUAUUUUUUUUUUGAAAAAACUAUUUUAAGAGACAUCUAGUACAAAGUUGCGGUCACUAGCUCGAGCUUGAGCUUGUUUUAUAGCCCAAAUCGAAAGGAGGUCAGGGAUAUAGCCAUAGGGAAUCAGAUAGAGGCUAUUACGUAUUCAAUCUUGCUAUUGCAAAUAAAGUCUCUCCAACAACUCAACAGAGAAACAUACAUAUAAAAUUGUCAAGCUGCAGAUCUUUUAGACUGUGACGAUUAUGUUGGCAAAAUAUAAAAUUUGGCCCAAUUUCGACUCAAAACAACCCCUAUAAAAGUAUUUAUCAGAGUAGAAGUUACAUGCGAAUUCACGUAAACUCGUAGAAAUAGAUUAAUAGGAUAACCAGUAAACUCCUGAUGAAACGAAAAGGAUAAGGAAUACGACCACUGGUAUUUAAAACUAAUUAAAUGUCUAGACAUCAUCCAAAAAGCUCCGGCCACAACAGAUUUGUCGAAGGUAACAAAAAUAUAUGUGCAAUCAAAAUUUUGUGCAUAUAAUGAAUUACAAAACAAUCAAAGGUCUAAGUUCCUUCCAACUGUAAAAACUAAGAUAAAUAUAUCUCCACAAAUACAGGAAUGUAUAAAUUACAAGCAGUUAGCAAUAAAACAUUAAAAACGUUGUAGUCCAAGUGUCACUCGCCCUCAGCCCUUCCUCUAUUGGAAGAUAGAUCUAGAUAACCCGGCAGAUUAGAGAAUCCGUGGGGAGUCAUUAUUACUGAGAUUAUGUAAUUUUUAGACAGUCACUUAUUCCUUUCCAUACCGCCCCUCGAAGUAAGUCGAGCAGGUAUAUGGAUUACCAACAUGGUAAUUCUUUCAUAUUUUUCGACAUUACAAAUAUUAUAUAUAUUAUAUAUAUAUAUAUAUACUAUAUAGUAUUAUUUUAAAUAUUAAAACUUAAUUUAUUUCUUUAAAAUAUCACAAACAUAAAUAGAUAAUAAUAAAAAAAAUGACACUAGAGAAAUUAAUAUUAAGGAUAGGAAUUCCUAGUUGCUAUUUCAUUUUUAUUUUAUUUAACAUUAGGGUAAACUUCAAAUAGCCAACCUUAUGGUUUGCAUUUCCCACUUUAGUAUCAUGUCGUUUAAAAUGAUCAAGUAUUAUACCUUAUAUUGUAGGGCUGGCAAUGAGCGAGCGGUUCUCACGUUCGACUCGCGUUCGACUCGAUAUUUUGGCUCGCUCGAGCUCGACUUCAAAAUUAAAUGAGCCGGAUUUGAACAAAAAAAAAAGGCUCGAAAUUCAUUUCAAGCCGAGCUUGGUAUUACUCAGCUCGUUUCAAAUUAGAUCGAAAGCUCGAGAAAGUCGAAUAUAUAUAUAUAUAUAUAUAUAUAUAGUAGAGCUACUAUGCUAUCAAAAAGUAUAGAGAUCUUGUGCUUUCGAUUUUUUGAUUCUUAGAUUUAUCCCUUUAAUCGUUUCUUAUCUUUGGAUUAAUAUUAUUAUUACCUUGUACGGACACCAAUCUUAAGAGUAUUAUUUUAAUCCUAGGGAGACCGCAAUCAUUCCAACCAUACAAUUUUUAAUCAAGAGGUCAAAAUGUAAAAACAUCAAAUCCUUUAUAUUUUCGAUAGCAUAGUUAGUUCUACACUAUAUAUAUAUAUAUAAAAUAUAUUUUAAUUAUAUAUAGGCUGAGUGAAUAAUCUGAAUUUAGUUAAAAUUAGACCAUGUUGUUGCCCAUAAAAAUAAAUCCAAUAGACAAAUAAAAGAGCAAAAUUUUACAAAAUUUAUAUAUUUUUCCUAUCUUUCUUUCUUUCUUUCUUUCACAGAGCUCUCAGUAUGUUUCUCUUUUCUGUCUUUUUCUGUCUCUCACCCUUAGCGGCCAGCCGGAAGCCCUCUAAGUUACCAAAUAAUAUCAUAUGCCCGCGUUGCUACACUUACUAUUAUUGUAUGUUGAAAUAAUAUACCGAAUAUUUUUAAAGUAAAAAAUUAUUAUUCAUAUAAAAUUUUUAAUUUUAGUUAUUUAUGAUUGGAUAGUUUAAUGCAAUAAUUUAUCUAUAUAAUUUAUUUAUUUUUGACUGCAUAAAUGAAAAUAAUAAUAUAGAGAUUGAAGGCGGAAAAAAAGAUAUGUGAGACUGAAAAAAUUAGAUAUUCAACUCAUAAAUUAUUUUUUUAUUUAUAAUAUUUAUUUUCAUAUAAUUAUUUUGUCACUUGAACUAUUAGAUAUAUUUUUGUAUCAAAUUAUAAUAAUGUUCUUAUACAAAUUAAACUAUUGAUCGUAUAAUAUUGAGAAUUUCAAGUGCUCGUUUAGGGCUCGAAGCUCGUUCGACUUGAAAUUAGGCUCGCUCGAGCUCGGCUCGAAUUAAUUUUAAUCCAAGCUUGAGCUUAAAUUUAGGCUCGAAAUUAAUUUCAAGUCGAAUUUGAGCCGAGGUAAGUCGCUCGAGCUCGGCUCGUUUCCACCCCUACCUUAAUUUCAUUUUUUCUCUUUUCGUCAGCUCCUACGUUAAUAUUUCGUUAAAUUAUUAUAUACAAAAAACUUCAGAUACCCACCUGGCCUUAUCAUAUAUUCGCUUUUUAUUUAUACCCUUUAGUUUUAAAAUUGUUUACUAAUUUAAAAAAAAAUUUAGUGAAAUGGAUAAUAAAAGAAAAAUAAAUCACGUGGUACUAAAUUGAUACACUUUAAACCACAUGGGUACUAAAAUAAGAAAGUGUAAAAACCACAUGAGUGGUAUUUAGGGGUGAAACGAGCGAGCUCGAGGGAGCUUAUCUCGCGCUCAAAUUCGGCUUGAAAUUAAUUUCUGAGCCUAAUUUAAGCUUAAGCUUGGAUUGAAAUUAAUUCGAGCCGAGCUCGAGCGAGCAUAAUUUCGAGUCGAGUGAGCUCGAGCCCUAAACGAGCCGCUUUAAAUUCUAACAUCAUACGAUCAAUAGUUUAAUUUGUAUAGAAACAUUAUCUAUAAUUUGAUACAAAAAUAUGUCUAAUAGUUCAAAGUAUAAAAUAAUUAUAUAAAAUAUAGUAUUUAUAAUAUGAAAAAAAAAUUUAUGAGUUGAAUACCUAAUCUUUUUCACCCCACAUGUCUUUUCUUUCGCCUUCAUCUCCAUAUUAUUCAUUUUCAUUUAUGUAGUCAAAAAAUAAAUAAAUUAUAUAGAUAAAUAUUGGAUUAUAUUCCAAUCAUAUAUAACUAAAAUUAAAAUUUAAUGAAUAAUAAUUUUUUACUUUAAAAAUAUGUCUGUAUAUUUCUCAAGCAUACAAUUAAUAGCAAGACAGGCAACGGCAGGCAUAUGCUGCAUACUUGCGUAACUUGGAGGGCUUUCGGCUUGGCCAAAUAGGGCGGGAGACAGAAAGAAAAAGAGAGAAACAUAUUGAAAAUUUAGGCUCUGUGAAAGAGAAAGAAAAGAAAGAAAAAAUGUAAAAAUUUAGUAAAAUUUAGCUCUUUUAUUUUUCUAUGGGUUUGUUUUUAUGGGCAACAAUAUUUGACCAAUUUUAACUAAACUCAGAUUUAUUCACUCAGCCUAUAAUAAUUAAGGCUUUUUUGCAUAAAAACUCACUUAUUUUGGAACUUUGCAAAAUCGGGCCACCUUUUUUCGUUUUUUGCAGAUUCGGUCCGCUUUUUCAGCAAACUGACAAAUACCCUUAUACAUUUUUCUCUUUCCUCUUUCUCUUCCUCUUUUUUUUUCUCGUUUUUUUCUUUCUUUUCCAAUGGACGCCGCCCGCGCGUGCUGGAGCGGCAGCGACCCAGAGUGGAGCCCGGCCGACGCCGUCGACUGCGUCCGGUCGGCCUGCUGCACUCGGCCAUCGCGCAGGGCGGCCGGCACCUCUUCCAGCUGCUGCUGGAGUUCGACGCUCGACGUCGACUCUCGAGACACCCGGCGAUUCGUCCGUGCUCGAGUCCGAGGAGGUCAGCGCGUCGGACUCGAGCCCGACCGCUCGACCCCGACGCCCCGCUCAAGCCGGAGAAGUCUACUUCCUCGUCGACCUCCCCCGCGCCGACACCGAUCGCCGACUAUCGCCGCGCGGCGCGGCGCGCGCGUUCUACUAGGGCCGGCGCGCGCGUUCUACCGUUCCUUACCUAGUUGCCGGUGACGACGACGACAACGAGGCCCCCCCGGCCCGAGCCGCCGCCAGCCUUGAAGGCCCAUCCGCCCAUCGUCUCCGCGCGCCUCGUGCGCCCGAUCCGUCUCCCCCUACGUCCCCGCCGCCGAUCCGACGCCUCCGUCAGAAGAAGAAGUAAGAGAAGAAGAGAAAGAGGAAAAAAAAGCUGAAUGGUGCAAUCUAGAGGAAGAAGAAGAAAAAAGAAGAGAAGAGGGAAAAAAAAAGUUGUAAAAAUUUUUAAAUGAUGCAAUCUGGCCCUAAUGGUGCAAUCUGGACAUUACACCAUUACACUAUUUUACACCAUUACACCAUUAUAUGUUGCACACAUUACACCAUUACAUUCAUUUGCACUAUACACCAUUACACUAUUUUGAUCAUUACACCAUUACAUGAUUACAAUUUUGUACCAUUACAUAUUAUUCUAUUUGCACCAUUACACCAUUUUCCACCCAUUUUUUUUAACACUUCUUCUCCUUCUUCUUCCUCUGCUCUCUCUCUCUCUGCCUCUCUCUCUUUUUUUUUUUCUUUUAACUCCUCUGCUGCUUCUCUUUCUGCCUCCCCCUCGCCGCCGCCCCUCUCCUCCAGCAGUGCUGGCCCGCCCGGGCGCGUGGACGUCCUUAGCUCCUCUGAGCUCCGCGCCCAUCGGCGUCGUCGACGGUGAGACGACCAGGGUGAAGCUCACGCGCGGUUCUUCAAAGCCCGCGGAUCCCGUGCCGCGGCCAGCCCGCCCGGGCCUUCGCCUCGUCCGCCCCCCUCCCGCCGUGCCGCCGCCGCCGCGUCCACCGGCCCUCGCUGGACGCUUCGUCGACGCGUCGCCGGGCGCCACUCCGGGCUCGCUCAGCUCCAGCACGGCGCGUGGCGGCUGUCCAUGGGCCCUCGUGAAGAGCGGCGAGCACGGGCGAGCACGGCCGGGGACGACGACGUCUCUGGGAAAAGAAAGAAAAGGAACGAGAAAAAAAAAGAGAAAAAGGGACGAGGAAAAAAAAAAAAAGAGAAGAGAGAAAAUUUAUAUAAGGGUAUUUUGGUCAGUUUGUAAAAAAGCGACCGAAUCUGCAAAACGAAAAGAUGACCGAUUUUGCAAAAGCCAAAAUAAAUGAAUUUUUUUAUGCAAAAAGGCCUAUAAUUAAAAUAUAUUAUAUUUAUAUAUUAUUUUAAUAUAUAUAUAUAUAUAUUAUAUAGCAGAGGUCAUCUAUACUUUAUAGCAUAUAUAUAUAAUUAUAUAUAUAUAUAUAUAUAUAUAUAUAUAUAUAUAUAUAUAUAGAGUGAGGCCUACUAUGCUAUCGGAAGCACGGAGCUUCCGUGCUUCCAGCUCGUUUUCGAUGUUGCGACUUUCAAAUCGUCGAUUGGCUCGUUAAACUUGAUCUAGAGUAUUUGAAAUCCUAGAAAAUAAAUUUUAUUAUUUUUCGAUAUCAUUUGCCUAGUGAUCGAAUGGGCUCAAAAUCAACAAAUUCAAUGACCGUAGUGAGCCGUUUGCAAGUUUAACGGUGUAGAAAUAUUCAAAUCACAGUGAAAUUUUGAUAGAAAUUCUUUAUACUAUAUAAAACAAGAUUUAUAUCUUUGAUUUAAAAUUUUAAUAUCAUAUUAUUAUAUAUUUGUAAGAUUUUUAUUUUCAGCCGUUGAUUUUGAGCCUUCGUUCACUAGGCAAUGAUAUCGUUAAAAUCAUAAAUUUAUUUUCUAGGUAAUUCAAAUACUCUAGAUCAAGUUUAACGGAGGCGAUCGACGAUUUGAAAGUCGCAACAUCGAAAACGAGCUGGAAGCACGGAAGGCUAUGUGAUUCCAAUAGCAUAGUAGCCUCACUCAUUUAGUAUAUAUAUAUAUAUAUAUAUAUAUAUAUAUAUAUAUAUAUAUAUAUAUAUUUUUGAGCUUUUCGAGCCUAAUUCGAAUGAGCCGAGUAAUACUCAAGCUCGGCUUGAAAUGAAUUUCGAGCCUUUUUUUUGUUCAAGCUCGGCUCAUUUAAUUUCGAGUCGAGCUCGAGCGAGCCAAAUAUCGAGUCGAACGCGAGUCAAACGCGAGCCGGCUCGCUCAUUUGCCAGCCCUAGUGGUAUUUGAAGUUUUUCCUAAAACUUAUAUACAUGGGUACUAUGAGUACCCGUGAGUUACCCAAAAUGCCCAUAAUUUAACGAAUAUUUGCCUAUUUUAUCCAUAAUUUUUUGGAUGAGAAAAAUUUAUAUUCAUAUCUGUAAAUUUACGAAUAACCUAUGAAUAUUCACGAGUACGGGUUGAGAUUCUCUUGUUAAAUAGAAUCUGGGUACCAAACCCAAGUGACUAAAAAGAUUCUAAUAUCAAAAUCAUUAGUCAAAUGAGAUUUGAAAAGUUAGUCAACAUUUUACCGGUAAAAUCUUUGAAAUUAUAAGGAUUACCAAUCAAGAUUGCGAGACAAAGAGAGCAAAUUAGAUAUUACUAGAUUUCAUACUUGUUUGAUCCCGCCGUACGUGUAGCAAGAUUUAAUAAAACUUUUUUUUUGGGAAAACUUCAAAAACCGUUCUGUGGUUUCGUAGUUUCUCACUUUGCUCCCUGUGAUUUAAAAUGUAUCAAAUUGCCCCCCUGUGAUUUCUUUUUUAUUUUUUCGGUAGCUUUUUCGUUAAUAUUUCAUUAAAUUAUAUAUAAAAAACUUCAGAUACCCAUAUAGAUUUAUCAAAUAUUUACUUUAGUACCCUUUAAUUUUAACUUUAUCACUGAUUUAAGAAAAAAAAAAUAAUGAAAUUGAUAAGAAAAAGAGAAAAAAGAAACCACAGGAGGGCAAAUUGAUACAUUUUAAACCACAGGGGGGCAAAGUGAGAAUCUAUGAAACCACGGGGGGUUUUUUAAAGUUUUUCUUUUUUUUUUUUUUUUUUUUUGUGCUGAGUGUUGGUACUAGGAGAAAUAUUAUAUUAAUUUAUCUCUAAUAAUUUUUUGCACCGACAAAAUCACAGGUAUGAAACCAGAGCUUCACGUGCUUUUAUUAAGAAAUUUUUUUUUUUCUUUUGUUGAAAUUAGGAGCGGAAGCUGAAAGCUGCCAAACAAGCCAUCAAGAAGAUGCCAUCCCAAAUUGACUCACACCAUUUUGCUUUAAUUACGUUGCCUAACCUUCUAAGAAUUUGACCUCCAAACUACCACAUCACUACAUGCCAUAUUAAUCUCCCAUCUGUGUAAGCUUCCCAAAGUGAGAAAAGCAACUUGAACAAGAGGAAUUCGGCUACUAUCCUUUCAGAAGGACAGAGACCUUCAUCCUUUUAAGUUGAUUUAGACGAUAGAUAUAUCAAAUCGAUAAUCGAAACAGUUAAAGUUGAUAUAGAGUAUCUAAAGUAUCUAGAAACUAAAUUUUAUAAAAUUUGAAAAAUUAUUUAAAUAGUGAUCAAAGGAUCACAAAAUCAGCAGUAUUUUGACGGCUUAUAUGAGCUGUUUGUGUGUUUAACGGUGGAGAACAAUCUGAACAGCUUGAAUUCUUCUUUUUUUUUUUUUUUUUUUGAGAGAUAGGUAGCACGCUUGAAUUCUUUUUUUUUUUUUUUCUUUUGAGAAAUAGGUAGCACGCUACCUGUUUCAUUUAUUUUAUUUAGAAAUAAACUUAACUAGAAAUGUGAAUCAACUAGGAUUCGAACUUGGGUUUCGGAUACCAAGCACCAAGCCUUUUGCCACUUGCUCUAGGGACGGUCGGUGAACAGCUUGAAUUCUUAAUAAAAAAUUUUUUUAUAUUAUUUAGAUAAUGUUUGAUAACUCCGAUUAUGAAUUAAAAAAGUCUAGCAUCUAUUUUUACAAGGUUAUUUAUUUUUGACCAUUUAUAUUUUCGACUCUUCAAAGAACUUGAUAACGAAUUUUAAAAUUUGUGAAAUUUAGUUUCUGAACGUUAUAAAUAUUUUAGAUCAACUUUAACAGUUUCGAUCAUCGAUUCAAAAUUUCUAUUAUUUAAAAUGAGUUAGAAGGACGAAGGCCUCCGUCGAAGAGUAGCUGAACUUGAACAAGCUCUCUCUCGCUCUCUUUCUAAACCACUUUCUCUCUCUCACAAGGUGCUUCAAAACUAAAAGCAAUGGGUCCCCCCAACCCAUCCCUUGAAUUAAAGCUUUUAAUCACAACCACAAACAACAGGAGCUAAACAUAUUCAUUGGGUCAACUACAAAGACUGAACCAAGGCAAUCCACCAACUACAAGAAUUAAGGGCUUUUUUUGCAAAUAGCGUCCUAACUAAUUUUUUUUUUAAAAUUGGCCGUAUCAAAAAUUUAUUUGCAAAAAUGGCUCUGGUCCCACCACGUCAGCGCCACAUCAGCGUCACGCGGGCGAGGCUGGGCCAUGUGUUUAAGUUGAACACGGUGAAUCAUUCACCGUGUUCAAUAUAAGAUUUUGUAUUAGACACGGUGAAUGAUUCGGUGAAUGAUUCACCGUGUCCAAUACAAAAUGGUUAACUGCGAGAUAUUUGUAUUGGACACGGUGAAUCAUUCACCGUGUCCAAUACAAAUAAUUGAACACGGUAAAUGAUUCACCGUGUCCAAUACAAACACCCACAACUUAGUCAUUUUUGGUUAAGUUAGAGGUAUUUGUAUUGGACACGGUGAAUCAUUCACCGUGUCCAAUACAAAAACCUUAUAUUGAACACGGUGAACGGUUCACCGUGUUCAACUUAAACACAUGGCCCAGCCCUGCCCGCGUGGCGCUGACGUGGCGCUUGCGUUGCGGGGCCAGGGCCAUUUUUACAAAUAAAAUUUUGACAGGGCCAAUUUUAAAAAUAAAAUUUAUCAGGGGUCUAUUUGCAAAAAAAGCCCAAGAAUUAAAUGAGAUCUCCCCCUGUGUGAGCUCCAGUCCCACAAGCCAUAAACCCAGAGCCAUACACAAAUUGUUUUCCCCUUUGAAAAAAAUUCUUCAUAGGAAGAGAAAGCUAAGGCACUAUUUUCUCCUGGAAAAAUGGGGACCGAAAUGAAGAUCGCGAGGAGCGUCAGCCAGAUCGAGCCGCAGAAGUUCGCCUUCGGGCUAGUCCUGGGUUGCCUUCUAUGCUCACUGACAUAUGUUUCAGUGUUCAAGUUCGACGUAGUUUCCUUGCGUAAGUUCAUCAAUCUUUCGAGGCUCAAUUUUGCGGCUAUGUCGCCUUAGCAGUUUUUAUUCUUACACUUCUUGCUGUUCUGCAGUGAAUUCCGCAUCACCAUCUUCAUUAACUGCACCUCCUUUCGAAAAUAAUGUUACUUCGCAGCAGUUAGGUAAGAGAACAGGGUCUUUGAGAAAGAAAGGAUAAUGUGGGUGGCAAAAUAAGUGGAAAAUAAGCUACAAAUCAUGUAGAUCAUGCUGAUCUUGCAUCUUUCAGGUAGGGGAUUGAAAAAUGUGACACUAGAAAGCGACAAGAAUGAGGCUUUUGUGAUGAUAUGGAAUUCCUCAUCAUCAUCAUCAAGUUUAGCUGCAGAUCCUUCAAAUAGUACUCAACAACAAGGUACCCUUCCUUUCAAAAUUUCAAGCCACUUUUUAAAAUUCAAAUUAGUAUUUUACAGUGAAGAGCACUUUCCUUUGUCCAUUACACAGAUUUGAAGGGCGCGGGGCAAGAAAUUAGCCUACAAUGUGAACUUUGUGGGAAGGAAAAUGGCACUACUACUAUUACUACCACUGCUAACAGCAGUGGUUCCGACAAAAUUGAUUCAAUUCAGAAGACAGCUGCAUUCGAAGCAAUGAAAACAGGUAGUGUAGUAUUCAGUCUUUCGUUAUUGGUAAAUCGGAGCAAUCGUGACUCAGAGUAUUCACUUUCAUUUGCCAUAUUUGCUCUUAUGCCUCUUCUUCUGUUUCCUUUCUUUUGUUGGAAGAUGAAAGGAGAAACGAUUUGAAUCCCGCGAAGAAGCCGAUGUGCGAUUUUUCGAACAGAAGAAUAGAUCGGUGCGAGAUCGAAGGUGAUGUGAGAAUCUUGGGGAGAAACUCAUCCAUUUUCUUAGUUAAUUCGCGGGAAACAGAUGGUCCGUAUCGAAACGAAACAUGGUGGAUCAAACCUUAUCCUCGCAAGACGGAUACAAAUGCGAUGAGUAAUGUGAAGGAAUUGACAUUGAAAUCAUUGGAGCCUUUCGAGGAGGCCCCUCAAUGCACCGAUCAUCACGACGUGCCCGCCGUCGUUUUCUCGGUUCGUGGUUACACCGGAAAUUUCUUCCACGCAUUCACCGACGUGUUCGUCCCUCUCUUUGAGACAUCUCACGAAUUCAACGGGGAGGUCCGGUUCCUCAUCACGGAGUUUAGAGCUUGGUGGAUCAACCGGUUCCUUCCGAUAUUCAAAAGUCUCUCGCGGUACGAUAUGAUCGACCUCGAUAACGACGAUAGAGUCCUUUGCUUUCCGCGCGCUAUCGUCGGUUUGAAAAGCCACGGUGACUUCAGUAUCGACCCUUCUCCGUCGCCCGAGGGCUAUUCAAUGGUCGACUUUUCGAGAUUCAUGAGGAGUGCGUAUUCACUCAAGAGAGAUUCGGUGGCGGUCGGAACUAGAAGGCCAAGGUUACUGAUCAUCUCAAGGGAGAGAACAAGAAAAUUCGCGAACUUAAAGGAUGUAAUUCACUUGGCAGAGAAAAUGGGCUACGAAGUAGUGGUAUCGGAGGCUAACAUAGAUCUAGCUCAAUUCUCGCAAGUUGUGAACUCGUGCGACGUGAUGAUGGGUGUCCACGGGGCGGGCCUGACGAACAUCGUCUUCCUCCCGACGAACGCAGUUUUGAUCCAGAUAGUCCCUUGGGGGGGACUGAAUUGGAUUGCGAGGACUUACUUCGACAAACCGUCAAAGGAAAUGAAGUUGAACUACUUGGAGUAUAGUAUUAGCAAGGAGGAGAGCACUCUAAUAGAGAAGUACCCUCGCGAUCACGCCGUGUUUACCGACCCCGCGUCGAUUCGCAAAGAAGGUUGGAUUCCUAUGAAGGAGGUGUUUUUGGAUAAGCAAGAUGUGAAGUUGAAUUUGAGGAGGUUUAAGCCUGUUUUGAAGAAAGCUCUUGCACUUCUCCAUACACGUAGUAGAGAGUAGCCUCAUUAGGUAUGUUUUGUUCAUAAUCUAAUGCAAAAGGUGUGUAGUUCAUUACUCAUAGAAGUAGAUAUGUUGUGGUAAUGCAAAAGGUGAAGUUUUGAAGAAUUGUUAUUUAAUAAUGUAAAACUUAUAAGAACAAAUUUGUUAAUGAUUAUUUCAUUAAUUAGUUAGGUUAUGCAAAUCAAUGACUAAUCCACUGAAUGGCUCAUCAAUUUUUGUACUAAUUGAAUUAAUGAUAUAUGAUACUUGUGUGACUCAAUCAUGCUGUUUGAGUCCCAUGCACAUUAGAUAGUGACUCUUUUGCACCGAAGUCCAUUGUUUUCACUAAUUUGCCAGAAUAGGACAUUUUCACUUCUUUUGUUGCAUACAUUUAAAGUUUCACAUUGAUCAUUUGAGAUUAUAAUACUAAAUUUGCAAAUUAACAAUACAAAAAAUGUCACAUUAUUGCAAAAAAAAAAAAAGAGCCAAUAGAUGAACAAUAGUGAAGUUUGGUGGGGAGUUAAGCAUCAACACAUGGUACAAAUCUUGAGAGACCUUGCUAGCAAUAAAUAAUAGAGUGUGACAUUGAUGGAGGUAUUAGAGUGGUCCUACCUAAGUUGUCCUAUAUAGUACUUGUCCUCAUGGAGCCAAGUUUUCAUGCAUUGGAACCCUAGACAAGGAGCAAGAGUAACAUUGAUUGAGGUAAAUUCAAAUAGCAUGAGUUAAAUCAUUUGGACAAAAAUUUACUGGCCAUCGUUAGUUUGGGGAUGAUGCGGAUGGACGCCAUGUGGCUUGUUUGACGGGCGCCCAUGAAAGACGAAAAAAAAAUGGUGCCCUAUGUUUUUAGAGAGAGAGAGAGAGAGAAAGCAACGGAGGGAGAGACAAGGGCGACCGUCGGAUGGCCACGCGGUGCCCUCCCGCAUUGUGCCCACGAUGCCCGGCAAAUUUUGUCCAAAUCAUUUGGGUUACAAUUUAUUGAGAACCCAUGAAUUUGUUAUCAUCAAAAUUUAUUAUUGGAUAAAAUGCAACGCAUAGGCCCUUGUGAAAUAGGUCCCUCAAUUUUAAAAAUUGAGAUAAUUACCUAUAUACCCAUCAAAACUUUGAAAUAUUUUAUACAUUCCUUUUUUUUUUUUUCGUUUCAAAUAUACCCCUCAUAUAUUUCUCUGUUAUUCAAAAUAAUCCCGUUGUUAAUACUCAUUAUGUCAUCUCGAGUUAAACCCAGAUUAAAUUUCUAUCCAAGUUUUAAAAAAAAAUUAAAAUAUCACUUUUGCUCCUAACUUAAAGGCAAAUAAGAAAAGUUGGUGAUAUUCAAAAAGUUAAAAUAUUCUUUUGUCCCUAACGUAAGAACGAAUAAGAAAAGUUAGUGACGGUAGAAGGAAUCUAAGUCUGGAGUGUAUUUGAAAAAAUUUGGAAUAAUAAAUGAAUUUAUUAUAUAUUAUUAAUUUUUUAAACUGGAUAAAUAAAAAAGUUUGAAAUUUUUCAGAAAUAUAUAAGUAAUUGUCUCUCAAAAGUUUUAUUAAAUUAAAUUACUCUGUUUGCAUUAGCUAGUAAUUAUCAUUUUAAUUAUAUUUAAUAAGAAAUUGAUAAAUAUCUCCAAAUUUGAUAGAAUUAAUAAUGGAUUGGAUACAAUUCUCAACCGCAUUCACUACAAUAUUAAUCAACACAUAAAAACUCAAGAGUUGAGAAGAUUCCAAUUCAAAGAAAAGAAAACUUGGGGGGGGCUACUUGUGAUAUGGAGACCAAUUGUUAAAUUUUAAAAACUUGGGAUGAAAAAUGGAAAAGAUAACAAUUUCGUUUUCACUGUAGGCUUAGCAUUCUCCAAAAAAAAAAUUUACUUUUUUUUUUUUAAUUUUUUUUUUUUUGAAGUACCGACAACUGCAAAGGUAAGUUAUUACAGGCGGUACCUCCACCACCCAAAGAAAAAGGUGAAAGGUUUUCUCAGCUUUUGUUUAUGGACCACUAGGCUAGAAGAAUAUAUAUAUAUAUAUAUAUAUAUAUAUAGAGUAGGAUUACUAUGCUAUUAGGAGUACAGCAGCCCUUGUGCUCCUAACUUUCUAACCACCCAUUAAGUUUGAUGGAUGAUUAGAAUGAAAGAGGGAAGAGAUAUUGGAGAGAAAUUUGGUGUUUCAAUUUCUCUUCUCCUUAAAUUUCUCUUCAAUAUCUCCUCCCUCUCUUAUUCUAACCGCCCAUCAAACUUGAUGGGUGAUUAGAAAGUUAGGAGCACAAGGNAAUUUUGAAAUCCUUUGAUCAUUAGGCAAAUGAUGUCGAAAAGAUUUGAAAUUUAAUUUCUAAACACUUCAAAUGGUAUAGAUCAUGUUCAAUGGUACCAAUCGUCGAUUUGGAGGCUCUAUCAUCGAAAACAAAUGGGUGAUAACGGAGCCUGUUUGCUAUCGAUAGUAUUCUAGCUCAACUCUCUCUCUCUCUCUCUCUAUAUAUAUAUAUAUUUAUUUAAUUUUAAAUUUUAAAAUUCAAAAUUAAAAUUUAAAAUAGUAAAUUAAAAAUUAAAAAUUAAAUAUUAAAAUUUAAAAUUUUAACAUUUUAAAAUUUAAAUUUUAAAUCAAAUUUAAAUUUAAAAAUAUAAAAUUUAAAAUUUAAACUUAUAAAACUUAAUAUUGAGAGUUUAAAUUUAAUUUAAUUUAAUUUAAUUAUAUUAUAUUAUAAAAUUUUAAAUUUAAUUUUUUAAAAUUUUAAAUUUUUUUAAAAAAUUUUGGGGGUGGGAACAGCUUGUUCCCACCCCUAUUAUGGAAUAGGGGUGGGAACAAGAAUAGGGGUGGGAACAAGCUGUUCCCACCCAUAUGGGUGGGAACAGUUUGUUCCCACCCAUAGCAAUAGGUGUUUGGUUACAAGGAGGGGAUAACCCCCUUAUACCCAUACCAAAUGGUACCCAAAUGAAUUAGAGGACUAUUGCUUUUUUUUUUUUUUUCUUUGAGAGAGAGAGAGAUAGGUAGCACGCUACCCAUUUCGUUAUUUCAUUAGAAAUAAAUUUAGCUAGAAAUGUAAAUCAACGAGUAUUCAAAUUUGGUUCUCGGAUACCAACCAACAAGCUUUUUGCCACUUACUUUAGAAACGGUCGGUAUAAGAGGACUAUUGCUAAAAGCUAAACUGGCUUUGUCAUGUUUCUUUUGCUCUUGGGGGUGGGGUUUGCUCUUCUAUUUGAGUAAACCAAUGUUUCCUCAUUUACUAUUGUGUUUUUUUUUUUUNUUUUUUUUUUUUGGCCUGUAAAGUACUAAAAGCAGCGGAGUUAAAAAAAAAAAAAAGAAUAGAAUAAAUAUGUACAUUUCGAAAAUAAUACGUGGAGUUAAAAAAUAAUAAUAAUAAAUAUGUACAUUUCUUCGUGAAGCACCAAAAGAGAGAGGCCUAAAACACUUAGCUGAAAAUAUAAAUCAAUUAAUGUUUGAAUUUGGAACUUCAAGUAUCAACUACUAAACUUUUUACCACUUGCACUAAGAAGGGUCAGUAAUUUUUGUGUAUUUUUUAAGAUAAAAAUAUAAAAAACUUACCUUUUGAAUUGGCUAUUUAACUUUUCAAAAUUUUGAUUUUAUAAUCUUUCAAUUUUUUGACUUGAGUCGGUCAACGACAUCUUGACUUCAAAGUUUGAAUCAAUAAUUCAUCUUUAUUUGUUUAGUUAAUACAUUUCAUUUAAUUCUCAGAACUACAAGUCUAAUAGUUAAUACAUUUCAUUUAAUUCUCAGAACUACAAGUCUAAUAAAAUAAAGUAAUUAGUUUAAAUUUUAAAGUCAAAAUACUGUUGACGAACUCAAAUCGAACAAAUUUGAAAGCUAGGAUAUUGAAAUCAAAAGUUUGAAAAGUCGAAUAGCCAACUCAAAAUAAUUUAUUGUUAAAUAUAACGAUCCAGCUCACUAGUAACAAUAAUAACUUAAAUACUGAAAGAACCCAUAGACAUACAGACCAUGAGAGAUUUUAAAUACUUCUGGCUGAUACAUGAUUUGAUACCAAAUAUAACGAUCUAGUCCACUAACAAUAAUAACCUAUUGGACUCAAACCAUCAACCAAAAUGCUUAAACUCAGUUAUUAUUAUUAGAGUUUACAAUCUUUUAUAUUUGUAAUUAGAACUCUUUUUUAUCCAUGUAGUACUAUUGGAAUAUUCUAGUAAAGUCAUUUUGUAAACUAAAAAAGAAAGAAAGAAAAGAUUCUAUCUUAGAUCAAGCGGGACAGAGACGAGGCGGGCCGCCUUCGCCUCCGCCAACCUCUUCGAAGAGAAAGAAAAAAAGAAUGAGAGAGAAAAAAAAAAAAAAAGGGAGAGCAAAAAGAGAAUAAGAAUAUUUUGACCAAAUCUCUAAAAAUUUGAUUCGAAUAUGUAAAAUUGGGCUUAUUUUUACAAAAUAUCAA
rnacentral:lncRNA from 1 species